GGGCUUGCAACUUCACCGUUGGCUUCAAGUCACGUACUCCUCUUGCUCCUUCUCCUUCACCUUUGCCUUCUUCCGAUCACUCAUCGUCUUCAGAUGCUAAGGCUCCUUCCUCAUCAUCUGCUUCUCCAAAACCUUUGGCCUUUGCUUCUUCUAUGGGAGUCGUUUUUCUUCUUUCACUAUUUUUCAUGUAGAUGAAUCAUGCUUAGACGUUAUUUAAUAAUUUGUGAUUCCUCCUUCUGUUCCCCAUUAGGUUUCUUGUUUUGUGGAGAGUCGACAAUUGAAUGUAAUGUUUUACUUGAAAAUAAAACGUAAGGAAGAUAUUAGUUGAACUCCGUUGGCUUCUAUGCGUGUCAAUCAUUUUCUGAUCGCAUGUACUAUUUAAUAUAUCAAAUUUAAACAGAGUACGUGUUAAUCCCUCCGUUUCAAUUUAUAUGAACCCGUUUGACUGAGCACGGAGUUUAAGAAAAAAUGAAGAUUUUUGGAAUUUGUGGUCCUAAACAAGUAAAAAAUGGGCCUAGAGUAUUUGUGUGGUUAUAAAAGUUUCUUGUUAAGGGUACAAUUGUAAGUUUAAGCUAAAUUAUUAUCAAAUUUAGAAAGGGAUCAUUCUUUUUGAAACGGACCAAAAAAAAAUAUGUUCACGUUAACUAAAACAGACGUACGACACUUGAUCUUUUAAUUUGUAAACCUCCAUUUCAAGUAGCCAAUCCUCUGCUGUUUUCUCCCAUUUGACUUGAUACGUUAUUUGGUAUGGACUACUGAGGGAAAGGAAGAGAAAACGAAACAAAAAUUUGAGAAGGUAAACAAAUUUGAUUUUCUUUAUAUCGUUUUCUUUCGAAGGAAAGGUGAGGAAGACCGUUAACAUCAGUACCUCUUUUUUAUCUUCUAUGUUCAUCAACUUAGCAUGCAAGCCCAAGAGAAAUAAUUUCAGCUUGUUUACUUUGUCUUCCUGUUACCCCAUCCAAACAAAUAUUAAUUAGGCAAGAAAUUUUUUACAACUUCCCUUCCCCUUCUCUAAUUUCCUCUUAUUUCCAAAGAACAUGUAGUUAUUCUGAAUCGUGCAUGUAUUCGUUUAAGUAAUAAGAUGCUGUUCGGAGGGAUAUGAAGCAAAACAACAUUCAUAUAUUUUAUCAACUAGUAAGUGCGGUACAUUAUUGAAAAUUGAAAAUUGAUUUUUUAUUUAAAACAUUUAUUAAUUAUGUUGUUUUCUACAUUGCUUUCAGGUUUUCCUUUAGUUAUGUUGUUUUCUCUGUUGCUUUCAGUUUUUGUUGUUCUGCAUGCGGCAUUAAUUUGUUUUCUUCCUUUCUUCAGACUUUUGUUAUUCUGCAUAUGUCUUUCUGCUCAGUUUUUUUAAUAAUUAUCCUUGUUGGUGGUGUUUGCUUGUUUCUAUGGAGAUUUUGGGCUUAUUUGGGAUUUAUGAAGUUGGUUCAACAGAUUUGGGACUUUGUUUGUUCUUGCAAACCGCGUGAAACAUAAAACAAUAUUUGAUGUAUAGUCCAAAUUGGAAAACCAAGAAUCAAAUAUCAUUUGCAACCCAUUUCCUUUUUCUUCACUCGCUGACUGCAAUUUCUGUUUUUUCUAGCUACCAGACGAUGAAGCUCAUUAAUAGUUCGUCUACUAGUCCUAUCAUAUUCAUUCAUGUUCAUAUCUAUUUAUAAGCACGAAAGCAUUUAGGGAAAUAUCGUUUGCUUUUUUUAUCCUUAAAAUAAUAAAAUUCACCUUGGAUAAAAUAGUCUUUUUGAUUAUUUUUCUAAUAUUUAGGAAUAGUCAUUUAAUUAAUUUUUUACUAUUUAGGAAUAUUUAUUUAAUUAAUUUUUUACUCUUUAAGAAUAGUCAUUUAAUUAUGUCCUUACUAUUUAUUUAUAAUAUUAAUAUUCCAAUGGCUUUCCGCUCUAAAAUUUUAAGCGCUUUCAGUUCUAAUAAAGUUUCCUUCACUUUCAACUCAUUUGGAGGUUCUUUGUAGUAGGAAAGUUGCGUUUACUUUCUCCAUAUAUAUGUAGGAGCUAAUUUGGUUUUUAAUUAGUUAUGUAUCUAUAUCUAUAUAUCAUUAUACUAUUAUAAAUUUUUCCUAUUUUUUAUGUUAAUUCCAACAGGAUAUAAAAGAUUUUUUCAAUAAUUAUUCUUCAUAAAAAAAUAUUUAUAUAACUGUAUGGAGUAAAAUAUGUUCAUAUUUAAUGAUUGCAUGAGAAAUCGACAUGUGGAACCGAAGACAGAAGAUUGCCAAACCUGAAUGCAAUGAUCUCGCUUGUCAUCGGAGAGAAUGAUACUGAUAAAGACAAAAUAAAUACCGCCAUCCGGUAGCGUUCAAUGACGCAUAUUCUACGGCAUUAAGUACAUGAUCCGUUACAGAGAAUAUGACAUUCACUGUCCACCGUUACACAUUCUUCAAUAGCCCUAAUAAUUGUAAUUAAAGAGGAGCUUGAUCAUAAGACCUUGUUCUCUAUGUGUAACUAUAAAUAGUGAGCUCUGUUAUCAUUGUAAGGGGACGGAUUUUCUGACAAGCACAUAUUAUACUUCAUCUAAAGCUCAAAUAACAUUUCACUUUCUUGUUUAUUUGCAUUGUUCUUAUUGCUCCCGCUAGCUCUGUGCCCGGAACCAAGAUAUAUGCCGUUUAUUUUAAUUUUACGGCUAAGUCUUAUAUUUCUGUCUAAUUCAUCUAUUAUUUUUGGAUCAAAUCAAUUCAUUUGUAUAUAAACUACGUAUAAAUUCAACUGUACAAUUUUAUGGUUAAACAGUUUGGCGCCCACCGUGGGGCAUAGACAGUCGUGCAAUUGAAUUGAUCCCUGCAUCUGUUCCUAACUUGUUUGAUUCUUUGUUCUUAGCAAAAAUCAUUAAAAAUGACAGAUUAUGGUGUUAACAACACACACAACAUUGAGGCCCAAGGAAAUCAGCCUCAACACGAGGAUUCAAUCAGUGAUACCCGCAACGAGGGGAACGAGGCCACGUCGGUCCACGACAGCCGAUACCCAUGACAUGUUUGGGAGGCAUCUCCUAAUGAUGCUGAAGAAGAGCACAUCGCGAAGCAGUCAGGGUCUUGCAAAAGAAACAUGAGGCCAUUAUAGGCCAUCUCACACGAUAGGAUAAGGUCAUCACGAUACUAAAGCAGGCGUUGUCGGGCCCUUCCAAUAAUGCGAAUGCGCGAGGCCCAGUUCUUCCCGUUGCUCCCGCAAACCAAAUGACGCCGAGGGUCGACAACAACACCCCGAGGGGCGAGGUCGGCUCCGAUGGGGCCGGAGGGAACUGAUCAGGUCACAACAAUAAGAGUGAUCCCUUUAAAAUCGAACUCAUGCGAUUUAUGAGGGAAGUAAACGCCCGAAUGGAUCAAAUUCGCGGUGCAUCACCAGUGUUGAAAGGGUCGGACUGAAAGAAGUACACACAAUUGCCGUACAAACCAAGCACGGCACUGGAACUGAUCCCGAAGCAGUUUAAAAUGCCCGACGUGCCGAAGCAUGAUGGAACUUCAAAUCCUCAGGAGUAUAUCACCACCUAUACAACGGCGCUGAAGGGAAAUAAUUUAGAUCCCCAUGAGAUUGAGUCUGUUUUGCUGAAGAAAUUCGGGGAGACUCUUAUGAAGGGAGCCCUGACGUGGUAUUCGCUUUUGCCCGAGCAUUCCAUAGAUUCCUUUGAGAUGCUCGUGGACUCUUUCAUCAAGGCACAUGCCGGGCCAAAAAGGUACAAACCCGAAAGGCUGAUAUAUUCAGGAUGGCGUAAGAAGAGUCCGAGUUGUUGCGGGAGUUUGUAACCAGAUUCAGGAUGGAAAGGAUGUUGUUACCGUCCAUACCGGACGAAUGGGCAGCUAAAGCAUUCACCAAAGGUUUGAAUCCGUGAAGCUCUGAUGCUUGCCGAAAACUGAAGGAAAGUCUGCUCAAAUUCCAGGUGAAGACAUGGGCAGAUGUUCACAACCGGAAUGAAUCUAAGAUAAGAAUCGAGGAUGAUCAGCUCGGUUUCCCGGCUUCAACCAAGGGUCGUGGCCGGGAAAAGAAUAUAGAGAAGUAAAGAGACGGUUUCGACUCGGGUCGAUGGUCUUCAAGGGAUCAGUUUUUACCCUAUGAACAGGCCGAAGGAUGCGCAGAGGUUUUCAGUCGGCAGAUAGAUUCACCACCGACAAGAGAACUGACCGCGGCCGAAAUAACAGGUCGUUACAGGACAAGGAGACGUCAGGUUCUCGAGACUCUUCCUACCCCAGGCUUUCCGAGUACAACUUUAACGUUAGUGUAGUAGAGGUAGUAUUGGCUAUGAGGAACAUAAAAGAGGCACGGUUCCCGAAGCCAAUGAGACCUGAUCCCAGCCAAAGGGAUCCUAACUUGUGGUGCGAAUACCACAGGACAAAUGGUUACCGGACUGGGGACUGCCAGCAUCUGCACGAAGAGGUGGCGACAUUGCUGAAAAAUGGCCAUCUCACGGAAUUCUUAAGUAACCGGGCUAAAAAUACCUAUGGUCGCAAUCAUGAUAACGCGGAGCCUUCGAAGGCAGGAGAAGUGUGAGGCCCCGUAAACUCUCGGCAGCUCGUCGUGGCAUAGACUUUUUGGGUUGAAGAAUGCAUUGAGAAGUUGGUAGAAAUUUUUGGCAGAAGAAGGAAAUUAUGCGGUUAGUUUCGCGGCCACAGAUCCAUUAUGUGGGCCGCAUACCCAUCGCAGAGUUGAGCAGAAAAAUUGUUGAAUUUUGAAGAUCAUUGUGCGUUCCAUUAUGCGUCCGCAUAAUCAUUUCGCGGUCCGCACUUCCGUCACAGAGUUAGCAUGAAGAAUUUCGUAGGGGGAUUCUGUGGUCCAUUUCGCGAUCAUAGAACUGGCCUGCGGACCGCAGACCUAUCGUAAACCUAUCCAGACUAGCCCAGCUUUUGGCAUCACUUUCGCGGUCCAUUUUGCGGGCCGCAUAUUUGUUCUGCGAUCGCAGAGUUGAGUUCGGAGGGUCCAUUUUCUAUUUUUAUAACCCGAUCCCAUUUUGAUUAAAAGCCUUUGGGGCUCAUUUUGGAGUAUACAUAUGACGCUUUUAGAGAGAAGUGUGAGUAUUUUAGAGAGAGAAGGAGAAGACCUAGCCAUUCAAAUCUUCUAUUCUUGUCCCAAUCUUCAAGAAUCAUGAAAGCCACUCACUAGACCAUCAUCUAUCCAGGUAAGUUCUUGUCCUACAUCAUCCAUGCAAGUUUGUUUAGGGUCUAAGUAGAUUGUGGAGUUGGAGAUUGGCCAUGCAUGUGACAUUAGGUGGUAGUAUGUGGGAUUGUUGAACUAUUUGGGGUAGUUUCUUGUUGAAAUUGGUUGAGGGAGGAAGGGAUUAUCAUUGUAGAGCUUUGUAGUCAAUUUUGCAUAAUAGGUGUUUGACAAAAAUCCUAAGAGAGUUACACCAUGAGAAUCCUUCUAAUUAAUAUCCGUUUUUCGCUAUCUUUCUAUAGAUUGAUAUUGCUAGGAGUGUUGGGAUGUUGUAGUAACCUAAGGAAAGCUCAAGAAAGGUAUGUUGGCUAAACUUCUCUCUUAGAAUCAAAUUCUAUAAUAUUCCCGUAAGUUUCAAGUAUGGUUGGCCCAGGUUCCUAAUUCUCAUGUUUCGAGUUGUUCCUAAUCAAAUCGAUUAUCCCAAGUAAGUGUUGUGUUGAAAGAUGCAUAUACUCAAAACGGGUUCCAAUUGUUCCUAUCAUAUUAUGAACUUUUCGAAAAUGUGUUCAAGUAUGGUUUAUGUAUUGAAAUGUUAUGACUUCAAUUAGUGUUUCAAAUGAAAGUCUUUUAUGCUUGACCUGGAAAGAAAACCCAACGUGCUUAAGACUCAUAUUGGUCAUAUACAUAUUUGAGGUUUUGAUUCCAAAUGCCCUUAAUUGUUGGUAACCUAUGAUGAUGUUUGUAAGUGAAAGAAGUAAGAGUGAGAUGUAAAACGUGGCCAUGGUUGUUGUAACUAGUGCAUUUGAUUUGUAUUUGUGUUUCAAUCGUAAAUCACCAUGCUCUCCUUUAUAAAUAUCUCCAAUGUGAUUUGAGUUUUUACAUACUCAUGAGUUGAAAUUGUGUAUUUUCCUUUUGGGAAAAAUAAUUUCAAGAAUAAGUGAUGUGUCACUCAUUUAUGAUUUUAACUCGUGCUUCAAUUGCUAGUCAUUUUGCCCCAUUCUUUGGGAAGGAAUCUAUUGUGUUUAAAGCCUUCAUUACUAAUGAACUAAAAAAUGUGAUUUCCGAAAUAUUUUAUAUGUUGAUGUAUAUGAUGAUGGUCUUUGAAAGUAAAAAAUUGAAAGUGUGGAAUAUGAAAUACGGCCAACGUGCCAUGAAUAAAGAAUCAUACGUAUGGCCAAGAGAGCCAAGGAAAUAAUGAUGUUGCGAAUGGUUGAGAGUACUAAUAAAGCUAUAUAUAUGGUGUGAAAAGCUAUGAGGUGAAUGUAUUUAUACUUCUAUUUCCCUUGUGUGCAAAACAAAAAUUAUUUUUGGGAGUAUCAUUAGCGAACCGAGAAAGGGUGGGUCGAAACGACCUACACCCGAAACUAUACGUGCCGCUGUAGGAGUGGAUUGUGAUUAUUCCCCUUAUUUGGCAUGAGAUUGAAAUAUUGAUUUGAUGAGAUUAUUCCCCUUAAUUUGGAUAAGAUUGAUGAUAGCUGUGAAUUGGAAACGAUGAAGUUAAUCCACACGGCAUAUGUGGGAAGGCGGCCUAGUCGAUCGGGUGGAGAUCGGACGCCAUGUCACGCGCAUGGUGGUUCCUACUCUUGGUAACACAUUUCUUUCGCAUCACAUGUCAAUCCACAUUGUUCGUGGAGACAUGGCCUAGCCGAUCGGGCGUGAUCGGACUCCGUGCUAAAGAUACGGUGGUAUAUCGGUGCUAAUGACCUCCCAACCAAAAAUUAUACUCCCUCCGUUCCAGUUUAUGUGAACCUAUUUUCUUUUUGGUCCAUUCCAAAAUGAAUGACCCCUUUCUAAAUUUGGAAAUAAUUUAGCUUAAACUUCCAAUUCUGCCCUUGAUGAGAAGCUUUUAUAACCACACAAAUACUAUGGACCCCUUUCUGACAUGUUUAGGACCAUAAAUUCUAAAAGUCUUUAUUUUUUCUUAAAGUCCGUGCCUAGUCAAACAGGUUCACAUAAAUUAGAACAGAGGGAGUAAUAUUUUUGUAUUUUGAAAAUUAUUAUGUUUUAACUUGGCAUUUGGAUAUAAUUGAUUGUUACUUGUUGCUUCCAUGGUUUUUCCCUUCUUAUAUUGGCAUUCUAUUUCUAAAGAUGAUAUUUAGCUUCGCAUACUAGUACUAUUCCACAUGUACUAAUGUCCUAUUUGUUGGGGGCGCUGCAUCUUCAAUGGAUGUAGGUGGUUCGUCAGCGGACAGCUUUGAUCCUCGUUAGCAGUUACUCUUUAUUCAGCAGUGUUGGUGAGCCCUACUUUGUUCCGGGCCUUAUGUCACCUGACAUUGUUUCUUGUGUUUUGAGGUAUAGCCGGGGCCUUGUCGCCGGCACUUCCAUACUAAUCUUCUGUUGUACUUAGAGGCUCCGUAGACAUGUUGUGGGUGGAGUCCAAUGUUGGGUAAUGAAAUAGAAGUGUUGGAAUUUGGCAAACACGUUUAUCCUUGUAUCUAUAAACUUGUAAUAUUUUGGAAAUCAUAAAUGAAUAUCCUUUGAGUAAUAGAAAAAGAAUGUAGAACACUUGAAUCUUCUCAUGUCUAUCACUUGUACUGAUUCUUAUAUUGUUAAUGGGCAAAGUUGGGUAGAAGGCAUCUACGAGGCUUGCUUAAUCAAGGUAACUCGGUUAAGCGUAGGUCGUGCUCCCCGGGGUCGGGGAGUGACAAGAAGAUCCCCUGCGCCUGACGAUCAACAUGAUUUUCGGUGGCAAGAGACUCCGGGAAGUCGUUGAAGACGACAUUACUUUUAUGGAGGAAGACACGGAUGGACUGCUGCUUCCAUAUAACAACGCCCUAGUAAUCUCUCUAAAUGUCUUAGAUUUUAAAAUUAAACGUGUUCUGGUCGAUCCAGGAAGUUCGGCCAAAAUCAUACAAUGGAGGGUGUUGGAGCAAGCCAAACUCACCGGAAGCAUCAUUUCGUCCACAAAGCUCCUUGCCGGGUUCAACCUAGCAAGUGUGACAACUAGAUGAGAGAUCCUGCUGGCCACGAAUGCUGAUGGGGUGAUGAAAAUGACCCUUUUCGAGGUAGUGGACAGAGAUAUGGGCUAUAAUAUUAUCCUGGGUAGACCGUGGUUGCACGAGAUGAAGACUGUACCAUUAGCAUAUCAUCAGUUGCUGAAAUUCCCAACUCCUGAGGGAGUUAAACAAAUAAGAGGUGACCAACCGGCAGCAAGGGAGAUGAAUGCAAUCUCGGUCUCCAGUAGAAAAGAAAAAGAGCAUGUGUCAAAGCAAUUACAGUAACCAGUGCCUUGUCCCGAGCCGAGCGAAGUCAACCAGGGGGAAGAGUCACCGGAAUCCUAUCAGGUACCAAGGUAUUUUCAGGUACCAGAAGAGACGGACGCAACAAAAUCUACAGCUGAGGAACUUGAACAAGUCGCAUUGUUCGAAAUGUUCUUAGAAAGGAAGUUCCACUUAGGGACAGGAAUGCACCCCGAGCUCAGGUCUGGUUUUAUUGAAUUUCUUAAAUUUAAUGUCGGUUGUUUUGCGUAGUCGCAUGCGGAUAUGACAGGUAUCCCGCCGGAAGUGGCCGGACACAAGUUAAGCUUGGAUCCCAGUAUUCCUCAAGUAAGAUAGAAAAAAUGCCCUAUUUCUGAGGCCAAAAAUAAAUUCGUCAAAGAAGAGGUAACUCGCCUGCUUGAUAUCGGUUCAAUCCGAGAGGUAAAGUAUCCCAAAUAGCUAGCUAACAUAGUAAUAGUUCCAAAGAAGAAUAAUAAAUUCCGCAUGUGUGUAGACUAUAAGGACUUAAAUAAGGCGUGCCCAAAAGAUUCGUUCGCAUUGAUCAAAUUAUUAAUGCAACGACCGGGCACGAGUUAAUGAGUUUUCUCGAUGCUUACUCCGGGUAUAAGCAAAUCAAAAUAGACCCGGAGGAUUAGGAAAAAACUUUGUUGAUCACGAAUUUCAGCACACAUUGUUACAAUGUGAUGCCCUUCGGGCUAAAGAACGUUAGAGCCACUUAUCAACGGCUCGUGAACAAGAUGUUUGAAAAACAAAUAGGGAAAACUAUGGAAGUUUACAUAGAUGAUAUGUUUGUUAAGUCUUUGAACGGAAGUGAUCAUCUUAAACACUUGAAAGAGACUUGUGUUUGGGGUCAGCUCCUGUAAGUUCCAGGGAUUCCUGGUGUCACAAAGGGGGAUCGAGGUGAAUCCCGAUAAAAUUAAAGCCAUCAGAGACAUCCCGAACCAGUUGUCGAGCAUGAAGGAGGUCCAAAGGUUGACAGGGAGACUGGCCGCUUUGAGCAGAUUCAUUUCACAGUCUUCAAAGAAAUGUCAUCACUUCUUCUCACUGCUCAAAAAGAGGAACAACUUCGAAUGGACCCCAGAGUGCCAGCAGGCUUUGAGGGCUCUGAAAAGGUAUUUGUCAAGUCCUCCGUUAUUUUCAAAACCGGAGGAAGGCGAACAACUACCGAUAUACAUAGCGGUCUCGGAGGUUGCGAUAAGUGCUGUUUUAGUUCAUGAGAAUGAAAGUACGCAAUAUCCUAUUUACUACAUUAGUAAAAUUUUAAUGAGAGCAGAAACUCGCUACCCACAUCUGGAAAAAUUAGCCUUUGCCCUCGUAGUAGCCGCUCGAAAGCUAAGACCUUAUUUUCAAUGUCACCCGAUAGUUGUAGUGACCACUUUUCCCCUGCGGAAUAUUCUUCAUUAACCCAAACUCUCAGAUAGGCUGGCCAAAUGGGUCAUCGAAAUGAGUGAGUUUGACAUAGAAUACAAACCCAGGACUGCAAUUAAGUCACAGGUUUUGGCUGACUUUGUCACCGAUUAUAGUCCAGGACUUCUACCUUUGGCUACCAAAGAAGCAGUAAUGGUGUCAGAAUCGACAUCAGGAGUAUAGACCUUGUUCACUGACGAAGCUUCCAAUGUGAAAGGGACCUGUCUCGGCAUAGUAUUAAUCAUACUCUCGGGAGAAACCUUGAGGCAGGCCAUACGAACCGUUCCUUUAACUAACAAUUAAGCGUAGUAUGAAGCUUUGAUUACAAAACUCGAGCUGGCCCGGGGACUGGAUUCCGAGAUCAUCAAAAUCAAGUGUGAUUCUCAAUUGGUAGUAAAUCAGGUCUACGGGAUCUACAAAGCUAAAGAAGAACUCAUGCAACAAUACAUAAUGAAGGUUCAGGCUCUGCUCGCCCGGUUCUGGCAGUGGUCAAUUACACACAUCCCAAGGGAAGAGAAUGCAGAAGCAGAUGCACUACCCAACCUUGGUUUGUCUAAGGAAAUGAAAGGAUCAGACUUCAGUACGGUCAUGCAGCUUAUGCACUCGGUGCUGGACGCAUAUAGUUAUUAUGAGGUAAACGCGACCAAUCUAAGUUGGGACUGGGGAAACGAGAUUAUUGACUAUCUCGAGUGCGGAAAAUUGCCUGAAGAUCCCAAGGCAUCUCGAGCACUGCACACUAAAGUGGCUCGAUACAACUUCAAGGGAGGUCAAUUGUACAGAAGAUCUUUCCAAGGCCCGUUGGCCCAAUGUUUGGGAGCCUCCGAAGCUAAUUAUGUUAUGUGAGAAUUCCACGAAAGGAUUUUCAGAAAUCAUUCAGGCACAGAUUCCUUAGUACUAAAAUUAAUAAGGGCAGGAUAUUAUUGGCCCCGGAUAGAACAAGAAGCCAAAGCUUAUGUUCAAAAUGAGAUAAAUGUCAACAUUACGCAGCGUUGGUACAUCAACCAACAGAGCCAUUGCACUCAGUUCUGUCACCAUGGCCGUUCAUGAAGUGGGGAAUGGAUAUCGUCGGACCGCUACCACCGGCCCCUGGUAAGGUAAGAUUUCUUUUGAUUUUAACUGACUAUUUUUCUAAGUGGGUUGAAGCAGUUCCUUAUCAGAAGAUAGGCGAAUGUGAGGUUCUAGAUUUCUUGUGGGAGAACAUUAUUUGUAGAUUUGGGAUACCAAAAGAAUUAGCUUGCGACAACGGGCCAUAAUUUAUAGGCGCAAAAGUCACAAAGUUCCUUGAAGACUUGAAAAUCAAGAGGAUCACAUCAUCACCCUAUCAUACAAGCGCAAAAGGCCAAGUAGAAUCAACGAACAAAGUGAUUAUACAAAGUCUUAAAAGAGAUUGGAAACAGCUAAAGGUAAAUGGCCUGAAGAUUUGUUAGGUGUACUAUGGGCGUACCGAACAACGGCCAAGUCAAGUAUGGGGAAGACUCAUUUCUCUCUUUUAUACGUAGCAGAAGCGCUGAUCCCGAUAGAAGUAGGUGAACCUACCAUGAUAUAUUUUCGGUCAAACGAAGAAGCAAAUAGUGAAGUAAUGUUUGUUAAUUUGGAGCUGCUCGAUGAACAUAGACACUUGGCAUUUAUAACGAUGGCAUCUCAAAAACAAUGAAUAGAGAGAUAUUAUAAUCGAAGAGACAACCUCCGUUAUUUCAAAAUAUGAGACUUGGUUUUAAGGAAAGUAACCCAGAACACCUGGGAACUUAAUACAGGAAAGCUAGGUCCAACAUGGGAAGGCCCCUACUGGGUUUCAGCUGUCACCGGGAAAGGGUCAUACGAGUUAGAGAAUCAAGAUGGAGAAAAGUUGCCAAGUAACUGGAACACGGCACACCUCAAGAGAUACUAUUACUGAUGAACAUCACCUGUACUGAAAGUAUGUGCUACAUUCUUUUUUCCUUCAUCCGGUUUUUGUCCCAAUUGGGUUUUUCUGACAAAGUUUUUAACGAGACAACAAUGGAAAGCAUACUACGAAGGAAGUUUCAACAACAGCAAUAAGACCUUUUAAUUACAAGUCACACAAGCAAAGAACCACUACGGAGCGAUUAGAUAGUCUUUUGCUCGAUAGCAAAGUUCCUACCGGGAAGUUGAGUUUGCUAUCAAACAGAGAUUUCCCGCCCAUUCACAAGUGCAAGCCACUGGGGGAUUGUUAAAUAAUCUUUGUCUCGGUAGCAUAAAUUCCUAAGGGGAAGUGAAGUUUGUUACCGAACUGAAGACUAUCUAGCAAUUCACUAGCUAGUGGAAUCCUCGAAGGUGUAAAACUCCUAGUGUUCUAAUUCGCAUUCUUCGCAUUCGAACACUGGGGGGGAUGAUAUGAGGAUAUGGAAACAAUGACUGCCACGUUACCCAGAAUAUAAAAACAGGAAAUAUAAUUGUAUCAUCGGGACCGGGGACUAUGCAGCCAGCCCCGAAAACAAGUUGUACAAGUUAGCCACAAGAAAUGGUAAUUUCUUUCUUUUUAGCACAACGAAUGCUAUGUACUUUUGAAAAUAGAUGGAAUAAAGUAAAGUCCUUUUAUUUUUAUCUUGUUUCUUGUCUGAAUGAUGAAUUAAUUUUAUCAUUUAAAAGUUAAACAAGUACUUCAAAUGCUAGUACCGUAAUGAACAGGAGACGUCCUCUUCAAAAGCAUUGUAAACAAAAGAGGGCCCUAUCUUAUGAAAACCCUCAUGAUAAAUGGUUGAUUUCGAAAAAACAUAUGCCCAAAAUCCAAACGCUUUCAUGGGAAAAUACACCCAAAGCCUUGCAUAACUAGACGCAAGUAGUAAAGCCUGCGCAAAUACUUAAACGAAAAAAGACACAAAGAGCAAAUUUGCGCAAAUAUUUAAACGAAAGUACGCAGAAACGGAAACUUAUAUGAUACUUGAACGAAAAAGUUUUUUUAGUCACAAUAAAUGUGCCAAACAGCACAGGUACAAAAAUUCAAAAAAGAAGGCAAAAAACUAAGCCACUACAUCUCCGGAACCCGGAGGGAGAGAAGCAUCUACACACCCAGGAGAAGCAAGUCCAUCCGUUGUUGGUCCGAUAUUUUGGCCUUCAUCAUUUUGGCCUUCAGCAUCAUCACCUUUCGGUUCCUCUUUAGUUUCCGACAACUCAGAAUCGGUAGCAUCAGGUCGGGCCGAAAGACCCCUUUUUGCAGUUAACUCCAGCUCACGAGCCUUAGCGAUUUUGGCAUCAAAGUCAAUGAUACCCGCUUUGGCCUCUUCCGAGGUUUUUCUCCUCAUACUGUAUAUAGCAUAUAUUUUUUCAACAAGGAGGGAAGCCGCUCGGCACUGAAGUUCUCCUUUAAGCUGGCUGACCUCAGCAGAGAGGUUGUCUCGCGCGAAUCUCAUAGAUCGAAGGCUAGCUUCAAAAUCACGGACAGUGGAGCUGUAAAUUUUAUUAUGCUUUAAGGUUUUCUUAUGUUUCUCCUUCAAUUGGGCAUACUUCGCCUCAGCAACAAUAACUUCUUCAACCUUGGAAUUUAAGGCCACCUCAAAAUUAUUCAAUUUUUCACUGGAGGCUACCUCACGAUCGGAUGCAGCAAGAAUGACAUUAUGAACUUCAACACAUUUGGCCUUAGCCUCUUCAAAUUAUGCUUAUGAAGUGUAAAUGAAGAAGUUUGAUAUGUAUAAGCAAAGAAAUAGGCGGCUAAAAUCGUGACCAUAAUUACCUCGAUAAUCGGCAAAAGUAAUGCUGAAUCGUGGGAUGACGCGUGUUCGGGGCAUUAAAGACGGAGAGACGUGCGUCUAAUCAACCGUCAAUAACUUUUCAGAGUGCAUCAUAAAAUUUUUCGCCAAGAAAGGUAUCUCUACCAACAUCCCGGUGACACAAAAGCUAUGCCACCGGAAAGCGGGGGAACUAUUUGUAUGGGGUAAAAUAUAUUCAUAUUUAAUGAUUGCAUGAAAAAGCGACAUGUGGAACCAAAGACAGAAGAUUGACAAACCCGAAGGCAAUGAUUUCGCUUGUCAUCAGAUAGAAUGAUACUGAUAAAGAGAAAAUAAAUGAGGCUAUCUGGUAGCAUUCAAUGACGAAUAUUCUACAACAUUAAAUGUAUGAUCCGUUACAGAGAACAUGGCAUUCACUGCCCACCGUUACACAUUCUUCAAUGGCUCUCAUAAUUGUCAUUAAAGGGGAGCUUGAUCCUAGGACCUUGUUCCCUAGGUAUAACUAUAAAUAGUGAGCUCUAUCAUCAUUGUAAGGGGACGGAUUUUCUCGCAAGCAUAUACUACAUCUAAAACUCAAAUAACAAUUCACUUUCUUGCUUAUUUGCACUGUUCUUAUUGCUCCCGGUAACUCUGCGGCCGGAACCAAGAUAUCUGCCGUUUAUUUCAAUUUCAAGGCUAAGUCUUAUAUUCCUGUCUGAUUCAUCUAUUAUUUUUGGAUCAAAUCAAUUCGCUUGUCUACAAACCACGUAUAAAUUCAAUUGUACCAUUUUACGGGUAAACAAUAAUUUUUUUGAAAUGAACAAAAUAUAUAAAAUACUUAGAGAUCAAACAAUUAAUAUAACGAAAUAAUAGGAUUUUUAAAAAAUUAUAAUAACUGCAAUUUUAUUUAACAUGAAAGAUAUUAUAGUUGUAUUACGUAAUUCAAAUAAGAUGAGAAUUUAUAUUAGAUAAACUUUUAAUUGAUUUUAAAGCUCUAAAUAUUAGGAGUCCUAUAUGGUUCAGAUUAGGAAUUAUUUAAUAAGGAUUGUUUUAAUUUUCAAGUCGUAAAAACUAAACAUAUACCUAAAUGCUAAUUUUAUAGUGAAAUUUCUUUUUUAAAAAUAAAAUAGUUGAUCAAUAUUUCAUGUGUGGGCUUAGUGCUUUUAUAAUAGUAUAAAUAGAUUAUAGAUUUAUAAUCGGCUAUAGAACUGAGACGCAUUAAUUUUAUAUAAUUAAUUAUCUUAUUAGAAUAAAAAACACACAUAGAGAAAGUUUUGUGAAAAAUGAUAUUUGAUUAUCUGAAUAUAUAAUAAUAUGUCCAUUACUCUUUAAUCAAACACUCCUUCUACAAAGUUUAUGUAUCAAAAUGUAAUUAAACAUGCUAAUAAAUACUAUAAUUAGAAUAAAUUAUUUUAAUAUCCACAAUUAUUAUACUCUUUAUUUCAACAUUAAAUUUUAGGAAUAAGUUUGAAAUGAUACUAAACAAUUAUACACUAAAUAUAUGCAGCUCAAUAAUAUUUAUAGAAUACUUUAAAGUUUUAUACUUAUUGAGAUGGGGUACAUGCGCAAAGCGCGUAUCCUGAGACUAGUUAUACUAAAAGUAGGAAGGUCCUAUCUUCAAAGUUAGUUUACGAUAAUACCCUUUAAAAUUUGAUACCAUUUUGUCCUUGGAAAAAAACCCUUCAAUUAAAUAAAUUUUUUUCAGUUAGAUAAUUCUUAUUUUAUUAGAUUAAAAAUGAAUCGGUAAAUUAGAAGCGAAGCAGUAACACUUUAAUGCUUCAGACUCACUGCAAUGAAUCCAGUGAGAGUUGAGGGCAUUUGAUUCUCUUCAUUUAUUUUCCAAGACGUUUCUCAUAAUUUAUCAUGGGAACCAUUCACAUUUUUUUUCCUUCAAAUUUUGCCAUUUAUAUGCUAUACUAUUUGGAAAUUCAAAAGUCGAUUCUUGAAUUCUCUUAUUUGCACCUCCUCUUUUCACUUUUCUUUCUUGAAUUUCUUCCAUCACUUUUCUAACAAUGAUAACGGUUCAACUUUACAUUAUCUUCUCUUCUCUUAUCCUUUGUCUGAAAUAUCUUUUCCAACAAUCAUUAGUCUUUAAAUUUCGUUCAGGUAGGUUUGUCAAUUACUUUAUGUUUGUUCACUUGGGCUCUUUUCAUCUUUUGCCAGUUUUGACUCACAUUUCUAGCGUUUGAUGUAUUCUUUGUUGUUACUAUGUAAUUUGUGUUGUUGGAAUUGUUAUUUUUUAUUGUCUACCAUAAAUGUAUCAUUGUUAUUUUAUAUACAGCACUAGAUCAAGAAAUUUUUUAAAUCCUUUCCAUAUCUUAUAUCAUCAUUACGGUCGAAAUUCUAUCUUAAAAUUCCUUCCAUUCUGUUAUGAAGAUAAAAAAGGAAAAAACUCAAGCAGAUAAGAGGAAGAGUAGAUGAAUGAUGUUGGAGAGAAAUGAAUACAGUAAUAAUCAGGGUAGGCUUUAAUGUUAUUCCAAGUAAGGCUUAUGCCUUAGGGGUCCAUUGUUUAAAAUAAUAGGUUUAUAGGUAUUUUAAAAAAAUGACAUUUAGUACUUCUUAUACAAAAAUAGAGUUUUUCUAUAGCUGUUGGUUCAAAGAAAAAAAAAAUUUCAAGAUUAUAAUUGAUAAAAUUUUACCUGAGAUUAAUAAUGUCUCAAGAUAAAUUAAAUGAGUUGGCAAUAUUAUCAAAUAAAAUAAAUUAUUAGAGGAAAUCGAUUAUAAAAAAAUUAUUAAUAACUUUGCAUCUCGAAAAGAUAGAAAAAAUAGACUUCAAAUAAAAAUAUAUAUCAUAACUUGUUUUUAAAAAUUUAGGUCUCAUAUUGAACUUUGGCUUUACGCCACACAUGUAUUUGUGCCGCCCCUUUAACAAUGUCUGCAAUGAGGAGAACGACAAUUCCACCGCCAUCGUCCUAGGGCUUGAUUUUCACCGGGAAGGUAUUGCAAAGAAAGACAAAGAUUAAUCCAUCCAUUUUGAAGGUAAUUAACAAUUCUUUAAUCUAUGCAUUGACAUAAUUUAUGCAUUAGAUUUUUGUUUCUGUUGUAGGCUAUUGGAAUCGGCUAUUUUAUAGAGUUCAUAUGUACUUUGAAUCUUGAAAAAUUCAAGUCUCUUCUUGGUAUGAGGGAAAGAGAAAAUAAAAUAGUUUAUUAUACGAUUAUUAUAUAUAACUUUAGGAUUUAAUGAAAUUAGUUUUUGUUCAUUCUUUCUUAAAAUGUAUUUUGUUAACUCAGUUUUUAUAGAAAAUAUUUGAAUAUUCUGCUCUGAGAAUUAGUGAAAUGCAUGAUCAACGGUAAGACAAUAAUUAUUUUUCUACUUAUAGAAUUUACACAAAAUAAGUUUUUGUUUCUUUUCUUAUUUUAAGCCUUUUAUAAAUGAUAUUAUCUUAUUUUGAAUCUUGUGUAAAUACUUUGUAUUUUUUAUUCCUUAACUUGUGUGUCAUCUUCUUUAAUAUAAUGUUGCUAUGACUUAAUAGAAUAAGCAUCUCAUAAAAACAUGUUUAUAUAUAUAUAUAUAAAAGAAUAGGAGUGUGAUUCUGAAAUAGUUUGUGAUGACCCGAUAGGUCAUAUAUAGUUACGCUUUAUUUUUGUGUUCCGAGACCUCAAAUAACUCCAUUUAUCCUUCCUCAAUUUGUGUGCACAGUCCGUGUCUUUUUUCGAAAAGGUUUUAUGAGAAAUAUUAAUAAAAAUGUGAAAUCGUGCCUUAAAACGCAUUUGAGUUGACUACGGUCAACGUUUUUUAUAAAUGGGCCCAGAUCAGUAUUUUGACGGUCCCGAUGGGUCUGUAUCGUGAUUUGGGAUUUGGGCGUAUGCCUGGAAUCAAAUUCGGAAGUCCCUAGCUUGAUCUAACGUAAUUUGUUGAAAACUAGAAGUUUAAAGGUUCAAAAAGUUUCUAAGUUUGACCGUAAGUUGACUUUGUUGCUACUAAUUUCGGAUUUCGAUUCCGGAACUUGGUAUAGGUGCAUUUCAGUAUUUAUGAGUUAUCUGCAAAAUUUGGUGCAAAACGGAGUUGGUUUGACGUUAUGCAGACGUCCGGUUGUAAAAUUCCAUGUUCUUAUGUUUCUUUGAAAAUUUUAAUUGUUUUGGUGUCCGAUUUGUGGUUCUAGGUGUUAUUUUGAUAUUUUGAUUGCGCGAACGAGCUCGUAUGGUGUUAUUACACUUGUGUGCAUGUUUGGUUUGGAGCCCGAGGGGUUCGGGUGAGUUUCAGAUAGGCUACAGAUGAUUUUGAACUUUAGACAAUUUCUGGUUUUUGACUUCUGCUGGUGUCUGAUGUGUUCUUCUUCGCGAUCGCGAAGGUACUCCCCGACCGCGAAGAGUAAUUUGGGUUGGGGAGGCUUUCCUUCAUCACGAACACGAUGAUUGAUACGCGAAUGCAAUGCUUUGGGGGGUUGCCCUUCGCGAAUGCGGACAGCCUCUCGCGAACGCGUAGUGUUGAGGGACCUGGGAAGAGGGAUCUAGGGUUUGCUCUACGCGAACGUGAUCCAAGGCUCGCAAACGCGAUGGCCAGGGGAGACAGACCAACGCGAACGCGUAGGUCUUUGGCCGCUGCUGCUUCGUGAUUGCAUCAGGUGUCUCGCGAAUGCGAUGGACACCUGACACCCAGACUUUAAAAUAUCGCAAAGAAGGGAUUUCACCCAUUUUUCACCAUCUUUCCAUUAGAGCUCGGCCUAGAGGCGAUUUUGAAGAGAAAAUUCAUUACCCUUUCAUAGGUUAGUGUACUUUAACUUAUUUUCUUCCAUUUCCAUUAACACCCAUUAAUUUCUAAUCUUAAUAUAUGUUCUUUCAUGGUAGAAAAUUAGGAAUUUGGGAAGAAUUGGGAGUUUUUGUAAAUUUGGGAUUUAGACAUCAAAUUGAGGUCGGAUUUCGAAACUAAUUACAUAAUCGGGCUCGGGGGUGAAUGGGUAACUGAGUUUUGGUCCGAAUCUCGGGUUUUGACCAAGCGGGCCCGGGGUUGACUUUUAUUGACUUUUUGGAAAAAGUGUAAAGAUCUUAACUUUAUGUAUUGUAAUUGAUUUUUCUAGCAUUAUUUGAUGUUAUUGAGUCGAUUUUGAUUAGAUUCGGUUGGUUCGGAGGUGAAUUUUAGAGGAAAGGCCCCGGUUGAGUUUUGAUUUGCUUGCAGAGCGAGGUAAGUGUUAGGUCCAACCUUGGUUUGAGGGAAUUAGGAACCCUUGAGCUAUGUGCUAUGUGAAUUACAUGUGUAGCGACGGAUAUGUGAGAUGACGAGUGUAUAUGUGCCGUCAAAUACUUGUUUCCAUAUUUUUCCUUAUUUCAUUAAUUAUUUUAUUCCAUGUCUUAGCUGUUACAUGCUUAAAUUGAUUCCUAUGCCUUAAUUUUCUACUUGUCACUUAUUUCUCGCUUAUUAAAAUGUUCGUUUCUCCCAUGCUUUCAUUAUUAAUUGCUACUUGACUUAAUUGUCUUGCUUGUACACUUUAAUUGUCAUAUAUUUGACUUGUCUUAUUGUUUUGGAUUAAUCGUAGUAUUCCUUGACUUGAUACGGAGUUCCUUAUUGCUUUGCUUUCAUAUUCCUUAGUCGUAGAAGUUCUUGAGAAUUGAGUUGUUGAAUUUGAUCACAUUUAUUGAUUUUGUUUAUGGAUCGGGUUGCACGCCACAACAGAUGGAAUAAGGAAGGAUUAAUAUUGAUAUGGUGGGAUCGGGUUGUACACCGCAAUAGAUUUUAUAUGUGAUUUUGAUAUGGAGAAAUAAGGGAGGAAUAUGAUCUUGAUUCUAAUUAUAUUGUGAGAUCAGGUUGCGCGCCGCAACGGAUUUUAUAAGUUAUUAUUGAUAUUGAUAUGGUAAAAUAAGAGAGGAUUGUGUUUGUAAGGUGGGAUCAGGUUGCGCGCCGCAACGAAUGGUGUAUUUUGUAUUCAUUGUUGUACUGUGUUAGCUUUCGUUGCUUUCAUACUAGAUUCUGAGUAUUGGUAUUUCUAGUUUUACCGAUUCUGAGGAUUGAGUUUAUUUUCUUAAGUUAACUGCCUUAGUUUCCUGUAUUCCUUUCCUGUUAUCAUUAUUAUACUGCAUACAGGUUAUUGUAAGUGACCCACCUUAGCCUCUUCACUACUUCAUUGAGGUUAGGCUCGGCACUUACAAAGUACAUGGGGUCGGUUGUACUCAUACUACACUCUAUAUUUCUUGUGCAUAUUUUGGAGUCGGUCCUAGCGGCGGUCAGUGGAUUGCUCCGAUUGAUUGCCAUAUUGGAUACAUGAGGUACAGCUGCUCGGCGUUCGUAGCCCUUAAGUCCCCUUCUAUUUAUCCUAGCUGUUUAUUUCAUUUCAGACAAUUUUACUUUCAUUCAGACCAUUAUCUGUAUUAUUCUAGACGCUCGUGCAGUUGUGACACCAGUUCUGGGAUUGUUUUAGAUAUUGUGGUUAUUAUGGUUUUCUCACUUUAUUUCGGUUCUAUUUUAGUUUAUUCAGUUAAACUGGUAUAAAUUAAUUUGAUUUGUCAAAAAUGGCUAAAAACUAUUCUAACGUUACCUUGCCUAGCAAGUAAAAUAUUAGGCGCCAUCACGGUCCCGAGGGUGGGAAUUUCGGGUCAUGACAAGUUGGUAUCAGAGUACUAGGUUGCCUAGGUCUCACGAGUCAUGAGCAAGCUUAUUAGUGUCGAAGGAUCAGUACGGAGACGUCUGUACUUAUCUUCCAGAGGCUAUGGAGUCUAGGAAAAAUUUCACUUCUUUCUUUCUUUAUUGUGCGAUUUUAUUCUAUCAUUGAUGAUUGAACCAUUCUAUUCUUGUUCUCUCGCAGAUGGCAAGAACACGCACUGUAUCUACCGCCAUACAUGAGCCGGAGCCCACUGUGGCAGCUAUGACUAGGGGCAGAGGCCGAGGUUGCUCCAGAGGCCGAGGCAGAGCUCAGUCUAGAGCUCGAGCACCUGCACCCGUAGUGGAUCCUCAUGUUGUUUUUGAGAAGGAGGUUCCAGCUCAGACUGUACCCAUCGGACCAGCUCAGGAUCUGGAGGGGUUCAUAGCCACUCCAGUGCUUCAGGACGCUCUAGUCCGUUUGGUGGGUCUUAUGGAGAGUAUGGCCCAAACCGGUACAUUCCCGGUGGCACCAGCCGUCUUUUGGGUUGGGGGAGGAGCACACACUCCCGGCUACUCACACCCCGGAUCAGGUGUCUCCCCAGUAUCAGACUCCAGUAACCCUGCCAGUUGGGGUGGUUCAGUCGGUUGUUGUGGCACAGGCCGGUGAUAGGUCCGCUAUGUCUUCUGAGGCCCUGUUGAGGUUGGAUAAGUUUACCAAGCUCUUACCUUUUCACUUUAGGGGUGCAUCUUCUGAGGACCCACAUAAUUAUAUAGAGAGAUUAUACGUUGACUAGACCAGCUGGGUCGCCUCCACUUACUUGAGAUCAGUUCUCACAACUAUUUCUAGAGAAGUUCAUUCCUGUCACUCUAAAAAAUGAGUACCGCAAGCAGUUUGAGCGUCUUCAGUGGGGCAGUAUGACUGUUACCCAGUACGAGACUUGAUUUGUGGACCAAGCUUGCCAUGCCACCAUCUUGCUUCCUACUGAGAGGGAGAGAGUGAGGAGAUUCAUUGUUGGGCUCACUUACACUCUCAGGUGGCCAAGGAGACCGGGUGUCACAACCCAAAACUCGACACGUCGUGAUGGCACCUAUCAUGAUACUAGGCAAGCCGACAACUCACAUAUCCCAAUAUUUUUAGAAGAAAAACAUGCUAGAAAUAGGUUUAAAUCAAUGGAAAUCUCAUAAAACCAGAUGAAACGUCGCAACUAAAUGCAAGAAAUCCCCAAAACUUGGGUGUCACUAAAUACAUGAGCAUCUAUAUAAUUACAUAGUCUGGUACACUGUCUAGAAAGUAGAACGAAAUAAAUAAAAUUGAAAGAUAGGGUAGGAGAGUCAAGGUCUGUGGACGCCCAAGCAGCUACCUCGAUGAUCUCCGAACAGGUAAAAAAUCCACGAUCAAUAACCACCGUGCCCAGAAAUGCUUGGAUCUGCACACAAGGUGCAGGGUAUAGUGUGAGUACAACCAACUCAAUAAGUAUCGAAAAUAAAUAAGACAAGUUAAGAGAAGCUUAAAUUAUUGAGGAUACUGGUUAAUUCGGUGUGAUUCUGCCCCUUUAAACCAACACAACAUAACAUUUAAAGCUAACUCAUAAGGCUUCGUGAGAAGAAUGUCAGUGUGUGCAUGUGUACUGUUUUCUCAAAAUACCCCCCUCAACAAUAUUAUGGCAUGUAGAGGAAAGAAACAAGUAAAUCAGAUAAGUGAUCAAGGGAAUAUAAGUUCCACAUACUGCACGGACAACUCACGUGCGACACGGGCAACUCACAUGUCAAUAAUAUCAAUAUAUAUGGAUCUGCACGGACAACUCACGUGCCAAUAAUGUCAAUACAGGGAUCUGCACGGGCAUCUCACAUGUUGUACGGACAACUCGUGUGCCAAUAACAUAAUCCGUCUGGCAUAGCCGCAUGCCCAGUCCAAAAUAUCAUAUAGAAUCAAUAAAGCAAGUAUACAGGUAUAAGAUAAGUGAAAUAAGAUUUUCAUGUCCAUGGACUGGUGUAAAUAAUAUGCUAAAGUCUAGGGAUGUGCAAAGUGUGUUAUCGUAGUCCAAACCAGCAAUUUUAUCAAUGAAAAGCAUUUAUCAAGUUCGUCCAGGGAUAAAACCUCCAAGUAGUCUCAUCAUGGCUCCACUAGAUCACAUAAACUGAUAUAACAUGUUAGAUGCCAAAACUUGAAGCUCAACAGUCAUUUCUGGGCUUGUAAGAGCCCGAGCACAACUCAAACAUGAAUAUACAAUCCCGGUGUCCGCACAUGGGAUCAUCCCCAUGCAUGUACACACCCAAAAGCACGUGGUUAUCACAAAAAUUCAGGUAAAUAGUGCCUCAACCGAGUUUAAAUACGAUACUUACCUCAAGCAAAUCAAAUCACUCUGCUAGCAAGCCCUUGCCUCGCGAAUCGGCCUCUGAACGCCUCGAAAGCCAUAACCAAUUUGAUACAAUUAACAGGGGCUAAAGGAAUCAAGUCCAUAAGAAAAUACUAAAUUCUUAAUCAAAAGCCAAUCAACCAAGUUUACCCAUACCAAAAUUACUCAAAUAAAAUACCAAAAUCUCGAUCAAAUCCCCAAAAUUAGGCCUAAGAACUUUCCUCCAUUUUCCCCCAAUUUUCCAACCCAAAUCACUAAUUAAAUAUUUGGGACCAUGUGUAUCGGUCGUGUAUGGUGUCUAUUGGGGGAUUAAAGAUGAGAGUUGAUCUUUUACUGCUUAGCAUGGUUGAUUUUGAUUUAAUUUUAGGCAUGGAUUGGUUGUCACCAUGACAUGCUAUUCUGGAUUAUCAUGCUAAAACUGUUUUGUUGGCGAUGCGUUGCCUAGGGUUGAGUGGAGAGGUUCCCUGGAUUAUGUUCCCGGUAGAGUGAUUUCAUAUUUGAAGGCUCAACGGAUGGUUGAGAAGGGAUGUCUGCCAUAUUUGGCGUUUGUGAGGAAUAUUAGUGCUGAUACUCCUACCAUUGAGUCUGUUCCAGUAGUGAGAGACUUUCUAGAUGUGUGUCAUGUAGACCUGUCGGGCAUUCUGCCCGACAAGGACAUUGAUUUCGGUAUUGAUAUAGUGUCGGGCACUCAGUCCAUCUCUAUUCCACCGUAUCUCAUGGCACCAGCGAAAUUGAAAGAGUUAAAGGAAAAGCUUCAGGAGUUUCUUAAUAAGGGCUUCAUCAAGCCUAGUGUGUCGCCUUCGGGUGCAUCGCUUCUAUUCGUUAAGAAGAAGGAUGAUACUAUGAGGAUAUGUAUAGACUACGCGCAUUGAUGAAUUAUUUUACUAGCUUCGGGGUGCUAGAUUAUUCUUGAAGAAUGAUUUGAGGUUGAGGUAUAAUCAGUUGAAGAUUUGUGAAUUUGAUAUUGUGAAGACAGCAUUCAAGACCCACUAUGGGCACUAUGAGUUUCUUGUGAUGUCUUUUGGGCUAACCAAUGCCCCAACAACCUUUAUGCACCUGAUGAAUAGUGUGUUCAAGCCGUAUCUUGAUUCUUUCGUCAUAGUAUUUAUUGAUGUGAUAUUGUGUACUCACGCAACCUGGAGGAUCAUGAGCAGCAUCUGAGGAUUGUACUCCAGACUUUGAGGGAGAAGAAGCUAUAUGCUAAAUUCUCCAAGUGUGAGUUUUGGCUUGAUUCGGUGGCGUUCUUAGGGCACGUGGUGUCCAGUUAGGGGAUCAAGGUUGAUCUGAAGAAGAUUGAGGCAGUUCAGAGUUGGCAUAGACAGGCUUUAGCUACAGAGAUUCAGAGUUUCCUAGGUUUGGCCGUAUAUUAUUGUCGUUUUGUAGAGGGUUUCUCAUCCAUUGCUACACCUUUAACUAGAUUGACCCAAAAGAGUGCUCGUUUCAGAUGGUCCGACGAGUGUGAGGUGAUCUUUCAGAAGCUCAAGACUACAUUGACUAUAGCCCCAGUAUUGGUGUUGCCUACAGGUUCGGGAUCUUACACCGUGUAUUGUGAUGCUUCGCGUAUUGUCUUGGCGUAGUGUUAAUGCAGGACGAUAGGGUGAUUGCCUACGUGUCUCAACAGUUGAAGGUUCAUAAGAAGAAUUACUUUGUGCAUGAUUUAGAGUUGGCGACUAUUGUUCACGCAUAAAAGAUUUGGAGGCACUAUCUGUACGGUGUUCAUUAUGAGGUCUAUAUUGACCAUUGGAGUCUCCAACGUCUGUUCAAGCAGAAAGACCUUAAUUUGCGACAGCGGAGAUGGUUAGAAUUGCUGAAAGACUAUGAUAUCACCAUAUUAUAUCAUCCGGGGAAGGCCAAUACGGUGGAUGAUGCAUUGAGUAGGAAGGCUGAGGAUAUGGGCAAUUUGGCAUAUUUAUCGGUAGCAGAGAGGCCACUAACCAUGGAUGUUCAGGCCUUUCCCAAUUAGUUUGUGCGGUUUAAUAUUUCAAAGCCCAACCAUGUUCUUGCUUCCAUUGUGGCACAGUCACCAUUGUUAGAGUGUAUCAAGGCUCAGCAGUUUGAUGAUCCUCACUUGUUGGUGUUGAAGGAUACGGCGCAGCCAGGGGGUUGGGGGUGCUAAGGAGAUUUUGAUUGGUGAUGAUGGUGUAAUGUUUAUUCGAGGUAGGAUUUGUGUUCCAAAUGUUGAUGGGUUGAGAGAUUUGAACCAUGAGGAGGCUCAUAGCUUGUGCUAUUCCAUUCACCAAGGUGUCACGAAGAUGUACCGUGACUUGAAACAACACUAUUGGUGAUGGAGAAUGAAGAAAGAUAUUAUUGCCUAUGUUUCUAGGUGUUUGAAUUGUCAAUAGGUGAAGUAUGAGCAUCAGAAAUCGGGAGAGUUGAUUCAGAGAUUGGAGAUACCGGAGUGGAAGUGGAAGCGCAUCAUUAUGGAAUUUGUGGUAGGCUUACCACAGACCUUGAAGAUAUAUGAUACAAUUUGGGUUAUUAUGGACCAGUUGACUAAGUCCACACACUUCAUUUCGGUGAUGACUACCUAUUCUUCGGAACGGUUAGCUCAUAUUUACAUUUAUGAGAUUAUCCUCUUGCAUGACUUGCCCAUUUCCAUCAUUUUUGACUAAGGCACACAGUUCACAUCACAAUUUUGGAGAGCAAUACAACGAGAGUUGGGCAUGCGGGUUGAGUUGAGUACAUCAUUCCACUCUCAGACGGACGGAUAUUCCGUGCGCACCAUUCAUAUCUUAGAGGACAUGUUACGUGUCUGUGUCACUGAUUUUAGAGGUUCAUGGGAUCAGUGUUUGCGUUAACAGAGUUUUGCUACAAUAACAGCUUCUAGUCGAGAAUCCAGAUGUCCCCUUAUGAGGCCUUAUAUGGGAGGAGAUGUCGUUCUCCGGUUGAUUGGUUUGAGCCUAGGAAAGCUAGGUUUUUGGGAACUCACUUAGUCCGUGAUGCCUUAGAGAAGGUGAAGGUGAUCCAGGAGUGGCUUCGUAUAACACAAUCCAGGCAGAAGACUUAUACAGAUAGGAAGGUUCGUAAUGUUGCAUAUAUGGUGGGUGAGAAGGUUUUGCUCAGAUUUUCACCCAUGGAGGAUGUGAUGAGGUUCGGAAAGAAGGGCAAGUUAAGCCCUCCCAGUGGGAGAGGUUGCUUACAGACUUGCAUUACCACCUAGUCUAUCAGGUGUUCACCUAGUGUUUUAUGUUUCUAUGCUCUAGAAGUAUUUUGGUUACCCAUCACAUAUUUUGGACUUCAACACGGUACAACUGGAUGAGGAUUUGACUUAUGAUGUGGAGCCGGUGGCUAUUUUAGAACGACGGGUUCGAAAGUUGAGGUCAAAGAAUAUAGCAUCAGUGAAAGUUUGUUGGAGGGGUUAACCGGUCGAGGAGGCUACUUGGUAGGAUGAGCGGGAGAUGCAAAGAAAAUAUCCACACUAUUUGAGGGUCCAAGUAUGAUUCUAAACCCAUUUGGGGACGAACGUUUGUUUAAGAGGGGGAGAAUGUAAUGACUCGGUCGGUCGUUUAGUGUAUUAUAGCCUCAUUCCCCUAUUUAUUGCCUCUUCUAUGUUCAUUUGUGGUUUUGUGACUUGUCGGGGUGAUUGGUUUUGUUUCAGGAAGGUUUCAGAUUUAUUGGGACACUUAGUCUCAAGGUUGGAGGCUUAAGUUAGAAGAGUUGACCGGAGUUUGACUUUUAUAUAGAUAACUCCAUAGUGGAGUUUUGAUGAUUCUGAUAGCUUCGUAUGAUGAUUUUGGACUUAGGCGUAUAUCCGGAUAUUGAUUUGGAGGUCUGUAAGUUGGUUUGAGGCAUUUUGGCGAAAGUUGAAAAGUGAAAGGUUUGGAAGGUGGAGAAGUUUAACUGAGAAUUGAAUUUAUUGAUAUCGGGUUCCGAUUUGGUUCCGGAAGUUGGAGUAGGUCUGUUGUGCCAGUUGGGACUAGUGUGCAAAAUUUAAGGUCAUUCAGAGUUGAUUUGAUAUGGUUCGAUAUUAGUUUUAGAAGUUGAAAGUUCAUUAGUUUCAUUAGGCUUGAAUUGGGGUACUAUUUAUUAUUUUGAUGUUGUUUGAUGUUAUUUGAAGCUGCGAGUAAGUCCUUAUUGUGUUUUAGAACUUGUCGGUAUGUUUGGAUGGGAUCCCGGGGACCCCGAGUGUUAUUCGGAAGGAGUUUGAGCCAUCUUUGGACUUGGGAGUUUGGAUGAAGUUUCUGAUGCCUGGUGCUUUUGCACCUGCGAUGGAUUAGUCGCAGGUGCGAGCCUGCAGUAGUGGCUUCAAGGUCGCAGAAGCGAAAAGGGAAGUUGUUGAGGGAGUCCGCGGGUGCAGACGGCCGGGCAUAGGUGCGGAGCCGCAGAAGCGGACGAGCGGGGAGUUAGUGAUUUUCCAUAUCUGCGAAGGGAGUUCCGUAGAUGCGACACCGCAGGUGCGUGUUUUUGUCCGCAAAAGCAGAAGGACGGAUUUUGGAAGUGAGCCACAGAUUCAGUCAAUUUUCCGCAUAAGCGGGACCGCAUAUGAGAUUAAGUGACCGCAUGUGCGGACUCAAUAGCAAGUUCUUAUAUUCAAAAGGGUUUGAGUGUUUUCUCAUUUUGGGAGAUUUGGAACUCGGCUAAGGGCAAUUUUUGAGAGGGUUUUUGCUGUACUUGAAGAGGUAAGUGAAGUUUAAUCACUUUUUUAAUAAAUAUUGAUUACCUAUUGAUUAUUACACCUAGUUUAUGUGAAUUUGAAGUGAAAUUUGGGAAUUUUAGACCAUGGUAUUGGAGAGUGAGAUUUGGUGAUUUGAGGGUCGAUUUGUAGACAGAAUUGGAUAAAAUUAGUAUAGUUGGACUCUUAAUGGGUGUUCGGAAUUUGUAAAUUUUGUCGGGUUCUAGGGUGCGAGCCCGGUGUUGACUUUACAUAUUUGAUUCAAGGCUUUAGCUUUAUCAUUUGGAAUUGUUUCCUAUGGCUAUUAUUGAUGAUAUUAAGUUAUUUUGGCUAAAUUCGAGCCGUCCAGAGAUUGAUACGCGUGGGAAGGGCUUGUUAGAGGAGUGAUUUGGCUUGAUUGAGGUAAGUAUCUUACCUAAACUUGGUUGAGGCACUAGUUGUAUGAAUUAUUUAUGAUAGCUACAUGCUAUGGGUGCACAUAUGUGUGGGGUUUGAGCCCAUGUGCGAGCACUGGGAUAUUUAUCCAUGUUCAGGGUAGUGCUUAGGCUAUGAUAUGUCUAGAAUUGGUUGUUAAGCUUUAAGCUAUAAUAUUUCUCAUAUUUUUAACGUUGUUGUAAACUAUUUGAGCCAUGUUUAAGGUUACAUAGAGGCUAAUUCCCUGAAUGAAAUUAAUAAUUGUAUUUCUAUAAUAAAAUUACCGAUUUGAGCUAUGAUAGCACACUUUGCACAUUCCUAUACUUUAGCAUAUCAUUUAUACCAGUCCAGGAGCAUGAGAUCUUUUAUUCAUUCAUCAUAUACAUGUAUUCUUGUAUAUUGGAUUCUGUGUGAUAUGAUUUGGACUGGAUGCCUAUGAACACGCCUGGCGAAUUGUGUUGUUAUGCCUGUGACCAUGCCUGACGGAUUGUGAUGUUAUGCUUGUGACCAUGCCGGGCGGAUUGUGUUGUUAUGCAUGUGACCAUACUGGGCAGAUUGUGUUGUUAUGCCCGUGACUAUGCCAGGCAAAUUAUACUGUUAUGAUGUGACCAUGCCGGACGGAUUAUGACAUUGAGUUUGUGACCACGCCGGGCUGGUAGCACGUUGAAUUGGACAUGCAUGCGUGUGGAUAUGGAUCUAUCCUCCUAGGGUCACCCUCUCAUGUUUCUCUCUUGAUGGUGUACACGCGGAUUUGCUAAAAAUUGAUCAGUGGUUUGGUACGGAUAUCGAAUUAUUGAGUAAAAUCUGGUUAGUGUUUUUUCUUAGAUUUUGCAUUUCAUCUUUACUUGCAAUUUCCAUGGUUAAUUACCUGAUUUAUUUGCAUAUCAUCUUUAUAUAUUGUAUCAUUGACUGAACAGAGAACUUGUGUAAUUAUGCACAUAUACACGGGGUUCUUUCUGUGCUUUAUGACUUGAUCACAUUAUUGUUUUGUACUUAUUAAAUCGAUGAAAUUGUACAGGUUAUAGUAACUAUCAUUUAUAAUUCUUGCUUCUUUUACCUCGCCGAGGUUAGUUAUGAUACUAGUUGAGUACAUUAGGUCAUUUGUACUCAUGCUACACUCUGCACUUAAUUGUGCAGAUCCAGGUGUGGGGACUAGUCAUCAGUAGCAGAGUUGCUUAUUUAGCUGAGUAUCGAGAGUCUAGGUAGAGCUGCAUUCUUGCCCACAAUCUUGGCUUCUCUUUUCUUAUGUACUGUUGUCUUUAGUUCAGACAAUAUCAUUAUCUAGCCUUCAGACUUGUAUUCCGUUGUAGAGCUCAUGACUAUGUAUUUACCAGUUUCUGGAAGAUUUAUCAUGUAUUAGCGGUAUUUUGCUAUAUUGAGGUUUCAGACUUAUGUUAUUUUUGUAAAUUUUAUUAUUUUGGUUCUUUAUUAUUAUGUCCGACUUGCCUAGCAAGUGUGUUAGAUGUCAUCACGACGGGUUGAGAUUCUUGGAUCGUGAUAAUUCCCAGCCCGAAUUUCUUUCAAAUCAAAGUGCUCUGAUCUCUUCGGACCGGUACCCAGUCCGAAUUUAUUUCAAAUCAAAUUCUCUGAUCAUUUUGGACCGGUACUCAGCCCAGAUUUAUUUCAAAUCAAAUGCUCUGAUCACUCUACACCGGCAUCCAACUCGAAUUUCCUAAAAAUCAAAUGCUCUGAUUAUUUUGGACUGGUACCUAGCCCGGAUUUCUUUCAAAUCAAAUGCUCCGAUCACUUUGGACCGCUACCUUGCUCGAAUUUCUUUUAAAUUAGAAUUCCAACCUGGGACCCAUUUUAUUAAAAAAAAGUUAUAUCAUCCUCGUAUUAAAUCCACAUGCAUCAUUUGACCUGUUACAAUCCAUCUUUCUUAGGCCAAUCGGAAGUAUAGUCCACACAACGUCAAUUCUAUUAAAUAGAAAAGACGUGACACAAUAUGGAAUUAUCUUCUUACAUUAAACUGGGGCAGAUUUUGAGGAAAGACGUCUAACUCUUCAAUAGAAAUUGACGGCCUGCCCCCAAGUAUCAUUCAGCUUGCAUCCCAUUGUCAUGAGACAUAUAGGCAAUCCGAGUUCCCUGAGUCAAAAUAAAACCCAGUGUUAUCGAUCACAGCUCAAUGUCGGGGCAAUUUUAAAAUGAAAAAUGAAAAAUCAAAAUCAAAGUACAUUCUAACCCAUUAUAUCUUGCUUUCAAUCUCUUCUCGAACUACAAUCGUCCUGAUUUUCAGUACACUUAAGAUAUGUAGGAAACUCAGUAAGAGUUCGGCCAUACCCACAUAAAAGUCAAUUCAAACAAAUCCAUCCAUCACAUCUAGCAUCCACAUUGUAGUGUCAUCACAAUUCGACACUCGGCAAUCUUUGAAGCAAUAUCAAGGUUACACGAAUCAUUUUCAUCCUAGAACAUCUGUGUCCUUUGUCUUUCACUCAAGAGGCUACAAUCCACAAGUAACAUUCCCUCAAUUGCAUCUCAGAACUACACAUAGACUGAUUCUCGCUAAACCCGAGAUAUAUAGACAACUCAAAAAACCUGAGUUCGACUACAAUUAUCAAAAUCUCCUCUGUUACCCACUACAUUUCCUCCAUUCCUACUCCAUCAUAGUCGGAACAAAAUUGAGUAUGGUAUCAAUUUCUUUGCCCGAAGACUCUUACAUUGUCUCCAGUCAAAGAGGGGCAGUUGUUGACACUCAAUUUUAGCCUUCCAUAUUUAAAAAUUAACUUCUGCAGGUUUUCUAGUCAUUAAUAGUAAAAUAAAGCAUUUUUGUAUAUUUUAUCUUUAAUGGAAUUUAUUAAUAAUUGUGAGCACCUAAUUUUUUAUCAUACUCAAAAAUUUUAUCACUUUUAGUAUUUAAAUAUUUUUGAAGGUUAAUCUUGAUAUAUUAGCUUUUGUUUCACUUUUUAUAAGUUUUAUUUAAGAAAAUUUAAAAUCACUAGAAAAAGAUUCAUAUUUUUAGAGUGUUAGUUUUACUUCAUUUGCGUAAGAAAAAGAAAUUCACAAAAAAUAUUUACUUUUAAACUAAUAAUUUUAUAAUUAUUUUUAGUAAUUUUUAUAUCUUUUCUAGACUAGAAAUAGUUUAUUAGUAUGUUUAUCUUGGUAUCUUUAAUUUAGUUAGAGUAGUAUUUAAUUUAUUUAUUUAUUAUCCUUUCAAAAAAUCAAAAAGAAAGAGUAAGAGCCAAUCAAAAAUGGCCAACUUGCAAAGAAUCCUUCCCAUCCAACUUUGUAAUAAAUUUCGGAGAUGCACAUAUAUUUCUUGUUCCCCAAUUCACAAAUCUUAUCCAACGCACAACUCACACGCUUUGGGAUAGAGCACAAAAGGAAUGAAAGAAAAAUUCCAUCUGCUCCAUUCAAAUAAUUACAGCUCGCCAUAGCACCUCUUAGCUCCACCACAUUCCACCAUGUAAAGUUAUCUUCUCCACCUAAACUCCACAAAAUCACCAUGAAAGACCCAUAGAAACUUUUCCAUUGUUAAUGAGCUGUCAAACACCAUAGCUCCAUCUCCAUGGUCAUACACUAUUUCUAUCCAUAAAAUCAGGUUCUAUUAAUACUCAAAUGAGUAGCUCAAAAAUAACAGAAACUCCACCACAAAAAAUACUCAUAAAAACCUUGAAACAACCAUGAAAAUCAGCUGUACUACUUCCAAACAAAAAACACCAUUGAAGCACCUCCAAAACCACCUCAUUUCAGCUGCAAAACGCUGCCCAACUCCACCCCAAACCCAGCUGUAAAUAGCGCCAAACCCACCCUUCUUCCUCACCACGAAAACCAGCAAAACAAAGCUUCCUUUCCACCACCAAAUCAGCGUGAAAAUCAGCCCGGAACCACCAUUCAACCCUCAGUUGAGCUGAUGUCACGACCCAAAAUCUAACCCGUCGUGAUGGCACUUAACCCAACCUAUUAGGUAAGACAUAUAAAAAUAAAAUAUAAUAUAAUGAUAAUGAUAAGAGUAAAAAAUAAAAUAAUAAAAUUUUAUACAACUCCCCAAAUACUGGUAGUACAAGUCAUGAGCCACUAAGACUUAGAUUUUACAAAAAGAAUGAACUGAAAUAAUUACAACAUCUAUUUGGAUUGUACAUGAACAUAAUUUGAAUCUAAAGCUACCAAGGAUAAGUGAUAGCCAUAACUGGAACACGAGUACAUCUUCAAUGCCAACUCCCAUCAUACACAGCAGCAACAACUCCAAGAUAUGCAUACAAGAUGCAGAAGUGUAGGAUGAGUACAACCGACAUCAUUUACUCAAUAAGUAUCCUAACUAACCUCUGCGAGGUAAAAGAAACAAGAACUAUAGAUGAUACUCACUAACACCUGUGCGGUUCAUAAUUUCAAAUAUAUGAUCAAAUCAGAAAAUCUCAGGUAAAACCUUUGAUGCUCACAAUUCUUUGUUUUAAGGUGUUCUGCUCAGUCAACAAUCCAGCAUAUAAGGAAGAUAUGCAAGUAAAAAUCAGGUAGACAGUCAAGGAAAUUGCCAAUAAAGAUGAAAUGCAAUAACCAAAUAUCAGUCCGUUGCGGUACGUAACCCGAUCUAAUAAUAGUGACCAGCUCUCCCAGAGCUCACAUUAACCAGAAACCUGUCGGUUUCUCACAAUCCACGUGUACACCAUCAAGAGAGAAACAUGAGAGGGUGAUUAUAGGGGGAUAAAUCCUUAUCCACACGCAAGCACAUCCAAUUCAACGUGCUACCAGUCCGGCGUGGUUACAGGCUCAAUAACAUAAUUCGUCUGACGUGGUUACAUGCUCAUCAUCACAAUCUCCUGGCAUGGUCACAGGCAUAUCAACACAAUCCGCCCGGCAUGGUCACAAGCAUAACAACAUAAUUCGCUCGGUGUGGUCACAUGCAUAAUAACACAAUCUGCACGGCAUGGUCACAUGUAUAGCAAACACAAUCUGCCCGGUGUGGUCACAAGUAUAACGACACAAUCCGUCUGGUGUGGUCACAUGCAUAACAAUACAAUCCGUCCAGCAUGGUCCCAGGUAUAACAACACAAUCCGUCCGGCGUGGUCACAAGAAUCCAGUCCAAUCAUAUCACACAAGAGCAAAUAAACAAGAAUACAUGUAUGUGAUGAAUGAAUAACAAAUCUCAUGCUCCUGGAUUAGUAUAAAUGACAUGCUAAAGUGUAGGUAUGUUAUCAUAGCUCAAAUCAGCAAUUUUAUCACCGAAUAGCAUUUAUCAAGUUCAUUCAGGGAUUAAACCUCUAUGUAGCUUCAAAGACGGCUCAAAUAGUUCACACAAUAUCACAAAUAUGAGAAACAUCACAGCUUAAAUCUUAACAAUCAAUUCUAGGCUUAUCAUAGCCUAAAUACAACCCGCAUGGAUAAAUACUCUCGGUGUCAGCACAUGGGUUCAAACCCCAUGCAUCUGUGCACCCAUAGCACAUAACUAUCACAAAUAAUUCAGACAACUAGUGUCUCAACCAAGUUAAAAUAAGAUACUUACCUCAAACAAGCCAAAACAAUACCGGGCAAGACAAACAACACUCUAGAAAUGCCAUCUCGCACGUAUCAAUCUCCGAGCAGCUCGAAACUAGCUAAAAGUAACUCAAAAAUAUCAAAUAAUGCCCAAGGAAAUAAUCCCAAUCGAUAAAGAUUGAAUCUUUAAUCAAAAGCUCAAAGUCAACCAAAAGGUUAAACCCGGUCCCGCACAUCAGAACCUGACAAAACCUAAAAUAUCCGACAAUCCAUUCAAUUAUGAGUCCAACCAUACUAAUUUCACUCAAAUUCGACUCAGAACCGAUGUUCAAAACUCAAAAAUUCACUUUAGAAAAAUUUAGACAAAAAGCCUCAAUCUCUCUAUUGAAAUCAUCAAUAAAAAUCAAAAAACGAAGAUGGAAUCACGGAAUAAAAUUAAUACAGAGUAUCAAAUACUUACUCCAAUCCAUGUGGUGAAAAUCGCCUCGAUAAUCGCCUCAAUCUGAGCUCCAUAGCUAAAAAUAUGCUAAAAAGACCAAGACCUUCGAAAGAGAGUAUUUUAUACACUGUUCCAGAGGUACCCUUUGCAAUCACGGUCAUCGACCUCGCGAUCCCGAUACAAAAAAUUUCCAGCACACAUUUAUUCUUCGCGAUUGCGGCUAUUUCCCCGCGAUCGCGAUGAACAAAUUUCCAUUACCCUUCCUAAAUUUUUCUCAGACAGCCUCUAGUAUAUCAGCCAUAAUAUUUUGUACAAAACUUCAAAGGACAAAAUGUUUGAUUUUCUGAAAAUUAGACACAAAUGGCUACAACUUUUAUUUUUGGAUCAUCUCCAAAUUCCUUAUAGAUUGCAAGAUAUAAGCUUUCUAAUUCAGGUCAGUGACAGUAGAAUUUUCUUCUACGCGAUCACGAACUGGCUUCCACGAUCGCGAUUCACAAUGCCGCAAUAGCAAAUUUGCUCUUCGCAAACGCGACACAAAGUCCGCGGCCGCGAUGCAUACCCUUGUGGCCAAACACCAACAACUAAAAUUGGCCUAGAAGUGGUCCGAAAUUACCCCGAAACUCACCCGAGUACCUAGAGACCUCGUUCGAACAUACCAACAAGUUCCAAAACAUAUUAUGGACCUACUCGAGGCUUCAAAUCACACAUAAUAACAUCAAAACCACUAAUCAUUGAUCAAGAUCAAUCUCUUAAAUUCAUAAACUUCAAACUUCGAACCAAUCAUCUGAUUCAAGCCUAACCAAUCUGGAAUGAAUCCAAAUUUCGCAUACAAGUUCCAAAUGACAUAUCAAACCUAUUCCAACUCCCGGAACAACAAUCUGAACCUGAUAACUUUGAAGUCAACUCCCGGUUAAACUUAUGAAUAUUCCAAAUCUUCAAACUUCUAACUUUCACCAAAUAGUGUCGAAACCUCCUAGAAUCACCCAAAUGCAAAUAUGGUCAUAUGCCCAAGUCAAAAUCGCCAUCCGGGCCUCACAGAACCAUCAAAACUCCAUUAUGGGGUCAAAUACGCAAAAGUCAAACUUGGUCAACUCUUCCAACUUAAAGCUUCAAAUAUGAAAUUCAUUCUUUCAAAUUAAUUCUGAAUCCCCCGACAACUGAAAUCAACGAUACAUACAAGUCAUAAUACGUCUUACAUAGCUACUUAUGCCCUCAAACCACCGAGCAAAGUGCAAAUGCUCAAAACGACCGAUUGGGUCGUUACAUUCUCCCACACUUAAACAUACGUUUGUCCUCGAACAUGCCAAGAGUCGUUCCAAAGCCAUCAAAUCGCCGUGUAACUCACCUUAUACAUACCCUGGGUGAUCCCACAUCACCCCAAUCCAUGUAAGCCUAACAACAUAAUAUAACUGAAGAUCGUUACUUCAACCUUAUUUCGUAAACUUUAGAACCCAAUUUCCAACAUCUAGAAUCCAUUACCAUACCCGAAUCUCGCGUCUAUACCAUGUAUAAGUCUGAACAAGCUGUAUAAAGCCAUAACCAUAACCCAAGAUGAAAUCACAUGAUAUAACACAUAACUCGCAUACUCGUAGCAAUAAUUUCCAAUCACAGUAGUUGUUUAAAAAUAAACUCGGUACCGGUAAUGAACCUCAUAUCAAAUAAAAACCUUAUUCUAAACCUUCGUACAAUGCCAAUGAUGAAUGAAACGCGCAGAAACUCAUAACCAGUCAUCAUAUCAACAAGUCAUGGAGCUCUCUCGCCUUACCAAAAUCAUAGUCUGAAUUCUAAGCUGACUUCUAAUAUUGCUCUUCCAAACACACCGUAAUCAAAUUUGAUAGCAAUCACUUCAGGCCCAAAGACUUUAUCUCAUCAAAUACAAGCUACUCUACUGACAUGCCACACCAAUACUACCUAGAGCCACAACUGUGCAAUCCGUGCACCAAUAAGCAAUAAUUCAAAUGUAUUCAAACAUAAAAAAUGACUCAAAUGAUAGAACCGUCUCGCAAGUUCAACAUAUACCGCCACAAGCGUAAUGCUACGAACCCAUCACACAUAGUAGAACCAAGACACACGGGUCUAACACAAAGGAUCAUAGCCAAUCAUAACUCCGCUGCAAUGUGUGACCCUAUCCAAACACCGGUCCAUAUGAAAUACCUCAAACCACAAUGCUCUAAAAAAGCAAAAACCAUACGUAAUUCGACAUCAAGUACACGAAGUGCAUGACUAUAACCAUGGAGAAACGAAUAGCACCAUAUACCACAAACAUGAAAGACAUAACCAAGGCGCAAUCAACUAUUCAACACCCCAAUAACAAUCUCGCUCGAAUUUCGCUAUAAGACCCAGACAGAAGCGCAUCUAGUGUAUAAUUAGCCAGCAGAUCACCAUCCAUCGUAGCAUAGAAGAGUAACACAUAGAACAUAUCAAAACAUGAACAAGCUCAACCCUAACCGAAUAACUCACCCCUCAACACUAAUCGUGCUAAGUCAGCAAAUCCGACCUGGUGUAGAAUACACAUCCUCAUUGGGCCUACCAAUUGACCCCCAAAUCAACUCCGGGCAUCCCUAUAUAGAUAAAUAACCCUCCAAAAGUCCACAAUGACCUAACCAUAACACAUACUAUUAGCUAUCUAACUUUGGCCAUACCUUCACACUCCGCAACCAAGGAACAAUUUACCUCUGAGAACUCCCAGUCUCCAAAUCCACAGAACACAUGAAUCACCAUAUACGAUCUCAACUCCACCACUCUAAUGAUUAACAUAUCUCUCAUACACAAUCAUCCCACGAAAAAUACUUCUAUAUUUCCCCAAGCCACAUGGAAAAAUCUGAAUAUCAGUUGUCGAUCAACCAGGCGAGUACCACAAUACCAAUGAAGUAUCUAUACGUCAAAAUAUAGUGCGCCUUCCGAAAUGCACGCCCUUCUCAAUAAUACCAAGUAGUACUAGCAUUCAUCUAAACAUAUGGAAUCGUCUAUGAUGUCUAAGAAUUCAUGACCUUCCCUUCAAAACUGAACCGUGACGUUUCACAUGCAAAUCUCAAUCCCACACGACGCACUGCAUCUAUCAUGCCAUCAUAUGAAAACAUGAUAACCACAUUAUCGACCCUGAGUCACAAGUAGAAUACAUACUCAAUUAUCUAGAAACAUUCUACUUGAUCCCAUCCAGGAGAAAUUUAGAGUAUGCAACAUACUCCUCAUGCCGGUAGAAAAUAUCCAUCUCAAACCGUUGUAGAAACCAUCGAGAACUCUUCGAAAUUUAUUUUUCCAUAAUCAAGCCAUCAGAACUGAAUUUCUCUAACUCAACCAAGCCACGUAGGUCGCCAAGCCUAAGAAUAUUGCCAGAAAACACAUGUAAAGAUUCACUACAUCAUUAGAACUAAAAGAAUCGAUCAUACCCAUUACCAUGCUGAUCCAAUCUACCACCAAGAUGUCCUAUUUCUCCGAGUUCCUUUUGAAUUGGCUUCAAGUUAACACUUCUCCUUGCUCACACACUACAACCAUUAACCUGACGCUUACCACGAGAUAUCCUAGCAUAAAGCCACACAACCCUAAGGCCUAUAAGUUGUUGUAUUCUCUCUUAAGCACCACAAAAGCACAACAACCGGGACACUCACUCUGAAGAGACCUUCUGUAAAUUUAAAGUUGUUCCUUUUACCUUUCUGAAACUGAAAUGUAGAACCCAUAAUGAUACAGAAAUAUGCAAGUCCCGCCACCAUCUAAUGCAAAUCUCAGAUCUUAGCCCUAUACAAAUUUAGAAAAAUUCUCAAUUGCCUCAUAUAAAUCUUGAAUCUAUUAGAACUUUCUCAAGAGUCAUCCAGUCUGCUCAAAUCUUAAUUGCACCGUCCAAACGGGCCGAACGAUCUGCGCCCUAUUAGCACAAUAACACCCAAAGAAGUAAUCCACACCUCUAAGAAACCGAGUGAAUCCUUUUUCUUAGUACAUUACAUCCAUCACGAACAACAACCCUAUACCAUUUCCAAGACAUCCAUAUAUCCAUAAGGUGUAAUACAUCAUGUAUCCAGAAAUCCCUUACUCAAGUCAUCCUCAAAACCAACCUCUGCAAGCCUUAUUCGAUCUACAAGUAUGCCUCAAACCGAAACCAAUACAACACAUAACCAUGCAAUCAAAUCGCCGAUGGUAGACUCCCCCACUUGGCUCAAAACCAUCGAAUAAAACAUCUGAUAACUCAUAAUACCCAAACUCUAUUACUACCAUAAUCCCGCUGUGAGAUUUAACUAAAUCUUUCACAAGCUCCUGCAACACAACCCAUAAAAUCAUCUGUUAAGCUCGCAUUCAUCCUCGUAACAGUUAGGUCAACUUUCACUUCUAAUCCAAAUUCAAAUCAUAACACAUAUAACCCACUGGUAGAAAGAAACUCUCCACACAACAUCAUAAGGAUCACACAUCUGUAGAUUACCCUACAUGUGAUAACCCGCCUGCCUAGCCUCAGACUGACAUCUCCUUAUACCCUUUCACAACCGCAAUUACCAGGCAAUCACUUAAUUAUCUUGAGUCUAAACUCAUCCACAAGACAUGCGAAUAUACUUAGUUCCACAGAUAAAAAAAAUGAAUAUUCCCUCAUCACAAUUAUAACUCGAGACUGUAUAACACAUCCACAGAAAUCGAGAAUUCAAUAAUCCUUUCCACAUCCCCAGCAAACUCUUCUUGCCACAUCCAAACCAUCUGAACGCAUACCGCAAUCACGUCAUACUCAUCACAUAGCCAUCCAACCACUCACCGAGCAUGUGCUCACUGUCACGCCCCAAACUCAGGGAGCACGACCGGUGCUCAACCGAGUGAACCCGGUCGAGCAAGCCUGUUAGAUUUCCUUCUACCCAAACUCAUCCAUGAAUAAAGAGGAGAUGCACUCCAUUAAUCAAACACUUAAAAAAAUUCACUAAAAACUCCCAUUUCAUAUCCAUUAGCAACUUCAUUCAUAAUUUCCAAAAUAUUACAAGUUUAUAGAUAUAAUGAAAAAUAUAUUUGCCAAAUACCAACAUUUCUGGUUUAAUUCCCCACAUUAAACACCACCCAAGACUUGUCUAUGGAGCCUCUAAGUACAAUAGAAAAGUAAUAUGGAAAUGUCGGCAACAAGGCCCCGGCUAUACCUCAAAACACAAAGUACAACAUUAAAUGAUAUCAGGCCCGGAAUAGAGUAGGGAUCACCAAAACCUGCUAAACAGGGAGUAACUGCUAACGAGGACCAAAGUUGCCCGCUGAUGAACCACCUACAUCCAUUGAAGAUGCAGCGCCACCGGCAAAGGGACGUUAGUACAUAUGGAAUAGUACUAGUAUGUAAAGCUAACUGUCCUCUUUCAAAAUAGAAUGCCAAUAUAAGAAAGAGAAAACCAUAGAAACACCAAAUCACAAUCAACAAAUAUCCAAAUGUCCAGUUAAAACAUAACAAUUUUCAAAAUACGAAAUUAAUAUAUAUUAUUGGUUAGGAGAUCAUUAGCGCCGAUAUACCACCGUGUUUGUAGUACGGAGUCCGAUCACGCCCGAUCGGCUAGGCCAUCUCCCCACGAACAACCUGGUUCGACAUGUGAUGUGAAAGAAAAGUGUUACCAAGAGUAGUACCACCAUGUGCUGAACAUGGCGUCCGAUCUCCACCCGAUCAGUUAGGCCGCCUUCCCACAUAUGUCGUGUGGGUUGACUUUUCCAAUCAACAAUUUUUACCAGUUUCAUCCCAAUUAAGGGGAAUAAUAUCAACCCAUCAUUCUCAUCCCAAAUAAAGGCAAAAAUCACAAUUCACUCCUACACCGGCACGUGUAGUUUUAGGUGUGGGUUGUUACAACACACCCUUCCUCGGUUUGCUAAUGAUACUUUCCAAAAAUAUUAUUUUUGUUUUUGCACACAAAGGUAACAUAGGUACAAAUGUAUUUACCUCAUCAUCUUUCACAUUGUAUAAAUGUUCACUAGUAUUUUCAACCAUUUACAACAACAGUAUUUCCUUGGCUCUUUUGGCUAUUCACAAGAUUCUUUAUUCAAGGCACGGUGGCCGUAUUUCAGCUCCACACUUUCCUAUAUUUCCUCUCAUGGAUCAUCAUCACAAGUAUCAACAAUUAUAAUAUUCCGGAAACCGCAACUUUAAGUUCAUUAGAAACGGAGGCUUUAAAUACAAUAGAUUUCUUUCCAAGAAAUGGAGUAAAAUGAUUGGCAAUCGAAGCACAAGUUAAAAUCAUAAACAAGUAGCAUGCCAUUUAUUCUUGAAAUACUUUUCCCCCGCAAACAGGGCAAUACACAAUUCUCACUCACGAAUAUGUAAGAACGCAAAACACAUUGAAAAUACUUACAAAGCAUAGCAUUAUUUAAAACAACCACAUAUGGGCAUGACUUGAGUACAUAAGCUUUUAGGAAAUUCUUUUUCUUGAAAUAAUUUUGGAACAAUUGAAUCAAAUCCUAUUUCAUAAUCUUUCUCGCAUCAUCUGAUUUCAUUGGCACCACUAGCCACAAGUAUAACUUUCAUUCUUGGCACGUUAGCCCAAUUCACUUAUUUCAUUUUCAAGCAUCAUUAUAGAUUAUCAACAACAAGAUAUUUCCAAUCAAGACUUUAGGUACACAUAUGGGCAAUUAAGAGUCUUUGGCAUAUCGAGUUUUUCUCACAUAAUUUGACAUACUAGCUUUUAUUUGAAACACAACACAAAGGCAUAACAUUUUAAUACGCAAUCAACACUUUGAACAUAUAUAUUUCGACAUAAGGCUCAUUCGGAAUAGUCAAGUUUAUAAGGGAUAACCCGGAACAUACGAAUUAGGAACUUAAUCCAAUAAUACUUGAAACUUAGGGGGAACAUUAUGGAGUUCGAUCGUAAGAGAGUAAUUUAGUCAACAUACCUCGCUUUGAGCUUUCUUUAAAUUACUACAACGUUCCAAAAAUCCUAGCAAUCCCAAUCUAUUUUGAGACAUAACAAAAUUGAACACAAAUUAGGAAGAUAUUCAUGGUUUCAGCUCAUUUGAGCAUUUUAUCAAAUACUAAGUGUGCAAAUUUAACUACAAGGUUCUUCUAUAAGAUUUCCUUCACUCCACAACCCAAUCCUUACUUAUUUGAGCUCAACAAUCUUUCCACAAACCUUAUCAGUACAUGCAUGUAUAAAUAAUACUCUUAUACCCAAGAAUCAUACUCCCAAUCACCCAUCUUUUACCCCAAGCUUGAAAUUGAAGAAUUGGGAAAAUAAAUUCUUACCUCUUUGAAGCCCUACCAAGAUCCUUGUGAAAUCUUCAAGCCUUAAGCAAGAAUUAAUGAACAAAUGGCUAGUUUUUCUCUUUUUCUCUCUAAGAUACUCUUACCUCACUCUAAAAUAUCAGAUGAAACCCUUAAAAAUGACCCCCAAAGCCUUUUUUAUGAAAAAUGGGAUCGGGUAAAAUUUCCAAAACUUAAACUUGCCGAAAUCGGGUAUGCAAUCGCAGACCGUACCGCAGAAUCAUUAUGCGGCCCGCAUAAUGGGUCGCGAAAAGGCCCUCCGAAACUGGGCAACACUGUUUCAGUCUACGGUCGUUAUGUGGUUCGCACACAUGUUCUGCGGUCGCAUAAUGCACCGCAGAAUUAGUCUGCGGUCGCAUAAUGCGCCGCAGACCUUCCUCCAAACUUGCCCCCACCUCUGAUGUACUAUGCGGCCAUUAUGCGGUCCGUAGAGUGAUUCUGCGACCGCAUAGUGGGCCGUAGAAAUGUCUUCUUCUGCCGAAAAUUUUUCUUUACUCCCCAAUACAUUGUUCAACCCAAAAGGUCCGAGUCGUUCCUACAAUCCUCAAACAUGUAAGCCUACUUUGGUACCACAAAACAUUAAAUUCCUUUACGAAAUUUUUACGGGGCCUUACACUCACAAAACUGAAACUACCGCCUAAGCUGCAGUCUAAAUCUGGCCUCAGGUCCUCUAGACUGGCCCAUCACCAAAACACAGAAAAUUCAUCUCGCACCUCAUAUAUGGAAUCACAGGCCGUCGAUGCACAGCUGAUACCGAGUGCUCACUUAUGUAUAUGAGUGAGUGGAAGGAAUUCAAAGAGAUACACUUCUAGUCGAAUCAAUGACGCACGAUAAGGAAUGAAAGAUGGGAGGUUUAUCCUAGAUGCCCUGUAGCCUCUCAGCGAUAGGUAUGGGCGUCAUCAUGUCAAUCCGCAAGACUCUACUAGACAUUUGCUCAUGACUCGUAGAACCUAUGAACCUAGGAUUCUGAUACCAAUUUGUCACGACCCAAAAUCUAACCCAUCGUGAUAGGACCUAACCCAACCUGCAAGGUAAGCCAAAUAAUAACAAAAAUGAUAUUGAUAAGAGUAAAAAAUGAAAUAAUUGAACUUUAUACAACUCCCCAAGGACUGGUAGUACAAGUCAUGAGCCAUUAAGCCUUAGACUUUACAAAAUAAACUGAACUAAAAUAAUUACAACAUCUGUUUAGAUUGUACAUGAAUAGAAUUUGAAUCUAAAUCUACCAAGGACGAGUGAUAGCCAUAACUAGAAUAGGGGUACAUCUUCAAUGCCAGCUCCCACCAUACAGAGCAGCAACAACUCCAAAAUCUGCAUGCAAAGUGCAGAAGUGUAGUAUGAGUACAACCGACUCCAUGUACUCAAUAAGUAUCCUAACUAAUUUCGGUGAGGUAAAAGAAGCAAGAACUAUAGAUAAUACUCACUAACAUCUGUGCAGUUCAUAAUUUCAACAAGUAUAGAACAGAUAUAUGAUAAAAUUAGGAAAUCUAAGGUAAAACCACUUUGAUGCUCACAAUUCUUUGUUUUAAAGAGUUAUGCUCAGUCAACAAUCCAGCAUAUAAGAAAGAUAUGCAAGUAAAAAUCAGGUAGACAGUCAAGAAAAAUACAAGUAAAGAUGAAAUGCAAUAACCAAAUAUCAGUCCGUUGCGGCGCGCAACCUGAUCCAAUAAUAGUGACCAGCUCUCCUAGAGCUCACAUCAACCAGAAACCCGUCGGUUUUUCACAAUCUACAUGUACACCAUCAAAAGAGAAAUAUGAGAGGGUAACCUAGGGGAUGGGUCCUUAUCCACACGCAAGCACAGCCAAUUCAACGUGCUACCAGCCCGGGUGGUCACAGGCUCAUCAUCAAAAUUCGCCAGGCGUGGUCACAUGCAUAUCAACAUUAUCCGCCCGGCGUGGUCACAGGCAUAACAACACAAUCCGCCCGGCAUUGUCACAUGCAUAACAACACAAUCUGCCAGGCAUGGUCAGAAGGAUAGCAACACAAUCUUCUCGGUAUGGUCACAAGCAUAACAAUACAAUUCGUCCCGCGUGGUCACAAGCAUCCAGUCCAAUCAUAUCACAUAUGACCAAAUAAACAAGAAUACAUGUAUGUGAUGAAUGAAUAACAAAUCUCAAGCUCCUGAACUGGUAUAAAUGACAUGCUAAAGUGUAGGCAUGUGCAAAGUGUGUUAUCAUAGCUCAAAUCGGCAAUUUCAUCACCGAAUAGCAUUUAUCAAGUUCAUUCAUGGAUUAAACCUCUAUGUAACCUCAAACACGGCUCAAAUAGUUCACAUAAUGUUACAAAUAUGAGAAACAUUAUAGCUUAAAGCUUAACAGUCAAUUCUUGGCUUAUCAUAUCCUAAACACAACCCGAGCAUGGAUAAAUAACACCGGUGUCAGCACAUGGGUUCAAACCCCACGCAUGUGUGCGCCCAUAACACGUAGCUAUCAAAAAUAAUUCAGGCAACUAGUGCCUCAACCAAGUUAAAAUAAGAUACUUACCUCAAACAAGACAAAACAAUACCGAGCAAGCCAAACAAUACUCUAGAAAUGCCAUCCCGCACGUAUCAACCUCCAAGCGGCUCGAAACUAGCCAAAAGUAACUCAAAAACAUCAAAUAAUUCCUAAGGAAACAAUCUCAAUCGAUAAAAGAUUUAAUCUUUAAUCAAAAGCCCAAAGUCACCAAAAAGUCAAACCCGAGCCCGCACCUCGGAACUCGAUAAAACCCAUAAAAUCCGAUAACCCAUUCAAUUACGUGCCCCAACAACAAAAUUGCUCUUCGCGAACGCGACCAAAAGCCUGCGAUCACGAUGCAUACCCCUGUGGCAAAUUACUAACAACUAAAAAUGGCCUACAAGUGGUCUGAAACCACCCUGAAACUCACCCGAGCCCCUCGGGACCCCGUCCGAACAUUCCAACAAGUCCCAAAACAUAUUAAGGACCUACUCGAAGCCUCAAAUCACACACAAUAAUAUCAAAACCACGAAUCGUCGAUCAAGAUCAAUAUCAUAAGUUCACAAACAUCAAACUUCGAACGAAGCGUCCGGUUCAAGCCUAACCAAUCUGGAAUGAAUCCAAAUUUCGCAUACAAGUUUCAAAUGGCAUAUCGAACCUAUUCCAACUCCUAGAACAACAAUCCGAACUCGAUAACAUCGAAGUCAACUCCCGGUCAAACUUAUGAACAUUCCAAACAUUCAAAUUUCUAACUUUCGUCAAAUAGUGUUGAAACCUUCUAGAAGCACUCAAAUGCAAAUCCGAGAAAACGCCCAAGUCCAAAAUCGCCAUCCGGACCUAACAGAAUCAUCAAAACUCCGUUACGGGGUCAAAUACACAAAAGUCAAAGUUGGUCAAUUCUUCCAACUUAAAGCUUCAAACAUGAAAUUCAUUCUUCCAAAAUAAUUUCGAAUCACCCAAAAACCGAAACCAACGAUACACACAAGUCAUAAUACAUCAUACGGAGCUACUCAUGCCCUAAAACCAACGAGCGAAGUACAAAUACUCAAAACGACCGGUCAGAUCGUUACAGCUGAGUACGUUCGAGGUCGCCCAUUCUGGUUCGAGUUUCUGAUUCAAAGCUUGCAUGUGGCUGACUGUUUUAUAGCUUUUCCGUCACUGUAAACGUUGGAAAAUUUCAGCAAUAAAAGAUCCAUUUCUCAUUUUAUUUAUUUUAGUUCAUUCUCGUUAGUCCAGGCGAAUACUUAAUCGUUUUGUUUCAUUCUGUGUUAGCAUACUUUUUAUUCGUUUUCUUAAUUGGAUAAUCCAUGUUCUGAAUAUAUUUCUUUAGAGGGUCAGAAUUUUAUUGAAUAUUGCCCGAAUCUUUUGUGUUUCUAUUUGAGCAUGUGUCUUUAAGAUAAGUUUUUAUUUUAUCAUUAAUUUAUUUUGUGGAACUUUGGAGAAGAAAGCUGUAAAAAUUAAUGAGCAAACUUCAUUUAUGACAGUUCGGCACUAAAUUAAGACAAUCGCUAGCCUAUUGAAUUUGAUUGUAAGUUAUAGCCAAAAACUUAUUACAUUGGCUACACACACAAAAAAUGCGCUGACCCAUUUGAUCAACUCUUCAAGUUGCAAAGUAGAGUUUUUAAUCUAUUCUGAUCUACUACUCUUCAUUAUUUCUCCACCAUAAAUUGUUAAAUUUUUAAAAAUAAAUCAAUUUUCUUAUUUAACUCCAUUUGAUUUGCAGGAUUUAGUAGACAGCUGAAAGCUAUUACAAAGUCAAUAUCACUUCUUUUUUAAUAACUGAAGAAAUGAAGAAAUGAAAUGAAAAUUUCAUAUAACUAAAACCAAAAGCACCAACUUACGGUGAAAUGAGCAAGUUUUAAUUUCUCUCUCUCUCUCUCUCUCCUUUUUUCUUCUAAAGGCUUCGUUUUUAUAUUUCUCUAAUCUAAAUAAGUGUCAUAUUUUGCUUUUUAAGGUCAAGUUGGACCCAUUUGAAUCAGUCUCCUGUUUUAUGAAUAAAAAUUAAAAAGGUGUAAAAUACCCUUUAAAUAUUCAUCAGAGAGAUACCCAAUUUUUCAUAUUACGAAUAAUGAGUUCCUUAAAUUUACUAACACUUACAAUUAGCAGAAAAAAAUUUAUGCUUGUUUAAUAGAAACUAAAAAAUAGCAAAAAAUUUAAAUAAAUAAAAAAAUUAUUAGAGUAACAUGAGUCUUGUGAGUUGUGAUUCAAUAGAAUUACUUUAAUCUUUUUGUGAGGUGGACCUAUUAUUUUUGUUCAUUACCUGUUCUUUGGUUUUUGUUUUAAUAGAAAUGUCAGNNNNNNNNNNNNNNNNNNNNNNNNNNNNNNNNNNNNNNNNNNNNNNNNNNNNNNNNNNNNNNNNNNNNNNNNNNNNNNNNNNNNNNNNNNNNNNNNNNNNNNNNNNNNNNNNNNNNNNNNNNNNNNNNNNNNNNNNNNNNNNNNNNNNNNNNNNNNNNNNNNNNNNNNNNNNNNNNNNNNNNNNNNNNNNNNNNNNNNNNNNNNNNNNNNNNNNNNNNNNNNNNNNNNNNNNNNNNNNNNNNNNNNNNNNNNNNNNNNNNNNNNNNNNNNNNNNNNNNNNNNNNNNNNNNNNNNNNNNNNNNNNNNNNNNNNNNNNNNNNNNNNNNNNNNNNNNNNNNNNNNNNNNNNNNNNNNNNNNNNNNNNNNNNNNNNNNNNNNNNNNNNNNNNNNNNNNNNNNNNNNNNNNNNNNNNNNNNNNNNNNNNNNNNNNNNNNNNNNNNNNNNNNNNNNNNNNNNNNNNNNNNNNNNNNNNNNNNNNNNNNNNNNNNNNNNNNNNNNNNNNNNNNNNNNNNNNNNNNNNNNNNNNNNNNNNNNNNNNNNNNNNNNNNNNNNNNNNNNAAUACGCCAGCAUGCUUUAGAUGUGUCGUAAUAAUUUAUAACCAUGGCUAUGUAUACGUUCGUGCGAUAUAGUUAUGAUCCAUAAAUUAAAGGGCAAAGCACGCGUUCGCGCGGCUCGAUUAAAAUCCUAAAAAUAAUGAUAAUGCGCCUUUAAUCAUGUACACGUAUGCGUGCCAUGAUUUUGGCGCACGAACAAGAUAAGUAUACUUAUGCGUGACUUGUUUCAAGAUAAUUCCCAUAAUUUGAUAAUGAAGCAAAUAAAAGCGAAAAUGCAUAAAAUCCUUAAAACAUGUAAUAUCCGGAAUUAAUUUAGCCAAGUGUAAAUUAUUAAGCGACCGUAAUAGAACCACAGGACUCGGGGAGUGCCUCAUACCUUCUUUUCGGUCAACAGAAUUCUUUAUCUGAUCUUCUGUGUUCGCGGACCAUAAAUGGAGUCAAUACUUUCCUUGAAUUGGGAUUUUAUAAAUGGUAACUUGGAACACUGGAAAUAAAUAAUUUCAAAUGGCGGCUCCUAAAUUAAAUAAAAUGAAUCACUUUUCAAAUAAUGUCACUUUAAUUGAAAAAAUCCUUUUCACAAUCUCCGAAAAAAAUGAAGUGUGACAGAUCUGGUGACUAUACUGGGGACAAAGUCAGAAUCUCUGGUUCAGGAUACAGAAUUCUAGCUUGGAGUGUUAUUUUAUACUUGGCUUUUAUUGAUUUGAUGUUAUUAUGUGUUUUGGGCCUAAUGUGCUAACUGCAACUCAUUUACAACUUUGAUAUUACUUGAACUAUAAAAACUAUCUUCUCUCGCUUCCCCCUCUGAGUCUUCUGAAUCUAUUGGUGCACACGUGCGCGUGGCUCACUUUCUGUUAGAAGUCAUAAUAGCCAACAACAGCCCAACCAACAUCAACAAUACUCAUAAUAAGCCUUUCAAAAUAGUUUAACAAUCUCGACGAGCGGCAAGCUCGGUUUACGAUCAACAAAAUAGAGUUUGAAUCUAAUUUCUUCUUCGUGAGUCUGCUUACAAUAUAAAUAAUAUUAUACUUAUCUUUAGCACAUCAUUUUCAGCCCAAAACAUCAUAAAAAUAAUAUUUAAAAUAGUCCACACGCCUAGCACCUUAACUUUUAUCGUAAAUCACUUGUUUUUUUACGUUUUCUUCUUUAAUCAACUUAAUAACACCUAGAAAAGCUUAAUAACAACAAUCAUAAUAUUAGCAAAUUAUUUCUCAAAAUUUUUAUCCACCACAAACCAUAUAUGUAGCUACAAAAUGGUCCAACAAAAAGAUAACCAUGUCUCAUAUUCUUUCAAGUGCUAUCUUAUGGUUUUUCACUCAAACAAUACAACCAACACAAGAUUAAUCUUAGGCACAAUCAAGAAGAUGCUACAAAUCAAAACCUCAUCACAAAUUAGCGCACAAUAGCCCUCAAUCAUACCACAAUAUUAUAGAAGCAUUCUCUUGUAAUCUUUAACAGUUUUAAUAAUGAUUUGAGUUGAUUUUCUUUAAGUUUGGUUCUUGAAUCUUGGAGAUACGUGAGAGAGGAUUUUGAAGAGCUUAUAGACGAAGUUUGGGUGAGAAAUGACCAGAAGUGAGGCUGAAACGUCUUUUGAAAGAAUUAAAGUUGGCAGCCGCCUGAAGUGGGUCCCAACAGGGAUGCCUACGUAAUUUCACAAAAAUACGAAUAUCUAUCUACUCAAAUGUCGUAUUGAUGAACGUCUUAAUACGUUAGAAACUAGACUCGUAGAUCUUCAAUUUUCUGGAUAGAUCACCUCGUAACUCUAAGUAUAUUUGGAUAAAAGAUCAGUGACAUUAGAACCAAAUUUCAAUAUAAUUUAUGAAUGUAACUUGUAACGACUUUUGUCGACUUUUAUUUCACCACUCGUUUGACUUCAAAAUUUAACACACAACUAUCAUACGACUAAAAAUACCUCAUAAAAUCACCUUCUUAUCAUGUUAAGUACCCUAUUCUCACCCCAAAAGUACGGUUUAUAAUAUUCCCAACUUGCUGACUUUCGGCGAAACUUAUUUUUUUCGAUUCGUUUAGCUUCUAAACCUUCCAAUACUUUUGGUACUUGCAGUUCAUGAUCUUAAAUAUUUGUAACCUCCAAGGUAACAUGAUUAACUUGCUUUAUGUACUUUUAAAGAUGAUCGCAUUUCUGAGCUUACAUCAAUUGACUUACGAUGUACUUUUACGUACAAACCACAAGGUGUAACAUCAUUCCCUCGUUUGGAACAUUCGUCCUCGAAAAUUGGCUGAUGCGCUUAUCAGUCUCAUAACCUACAGCUCUUAAGAAUACUUUAAUAAUGUCCUUGCCUUCUAGGCAACUAUUCUAUGAAUAAAUCCAAAGGCAAGGGCAUUCCCCCCUUUAGGCCUCUUUCUCACACCACGACCUAUGGUCGGAAUUCUUCCAAUCUCGUAUUGUUGCUACCUUCUCUCAUGCAGCAUGUACAACUCUGUCCUUGUACAUGCGCCUAUGCGACUCUUCUCUCUUUUUUCCUCCAACUUUUAGCUAAUCUCUAGGCCUCACUUUGUGAACAUAUAUACAGAACUAUGACAAAUUGUCCCUUUGGACAUCUAUAGGUAUACUGAAGUUCUUUACUUGGUACUUUUUCGAAGUUAUGACUAUUGCUAUAUUUUAUUUCAUAGCCUCGGUUAUCUAUCAUUAUGGCUUUACUGUAUCUAGGUAGGUCAUACUAUACCAUAACACUUACUUCAGUUUAUUAUUACCAAGGUCUGCUACAUAACUCCAGGUUACUCUCUCGCUUCUUAUCCUAUAUAUAUAAAUCUAAGUCCUUUAAUGCUUCCUCAUUACUGCUCAUCUUAAGAAUAAAAGCCUAAUCACAUUUCAUACUUUGCAACUUUUAUCCAUCUAUUAUUGAUUUACCUUAAUGUUGAUCUAUAAUCUACCACUGAUAACUUGAAACCUCUUACGUAAUACAUUGUUACUAGGGCUCACGUCUCAUCGGGGAACAUCUAAAGUUAUUUGCCUUAUCCACAUAGGGAUAAUACUAUACUUUAAUAAUCAUAUUUCAUAGCAUUUCAACGUGAUUCAUCUUAUGGAGGGUAUUCUAAUCUUGUACAAUUCAUGAAAUUCCUUCUCUUUGAAUCAUUACUCAAUUAAAGACCUAAACAUCAUCCUCUUAUCAUUUAUCACAAUUACUCUCUUAUUCUACUAUCAGGGCAAUAUUCUAUCUCUUCUAAAUGCUCCUAGUCUUAAACUCCUCCAAGUUCAUUCAAGCGAUAUUGAGCUUUCUAUAACUUACAGAAACCAUCAGCUUUCUUGUUUUGAUGGGAUUAAUCUCGAGGCCUUACCUAUUCUCGUCAUAUUUUCACUCACCUUUUAUUAUCCUUACUCCUGUCUACCUAAAACUUAUCAUUCUACCAUACUUUAGUUUGCAAUCUACAUAUAUCUAUUUUUACUACUCGGAACCUUCCUUUAACUUGCUAGCACCGUAAAUUUCCUUAUGUUAUUUUGGAACCUCAAGCAAGAAAUCAUGUUGUCUCUAACUCUUCUUUUCUCUCUUAACUAGACCUCUCUGUACCUAGAAACAAUAUGCUGGAAGAUAUGCUACUGACGACACCACUAUUAUUUAUGGAUACUGAAUCACGACGCUUCUAGCCCUCUAUCUGAAGCCUGGACUAUUCACAACCUUAUGCACUCACAUCGUAUCUUCUAUCGCUUUCAUAACCUCCCUUCUACAUAGGUGGAAUUCACAUCCACACCUUAAAGCUCUAAUAUAAUACUUGUACCUCUGGUUUAUACACAAUCCGGCGGGAGCUUCAUACCGACUUCUUAUGACUCAGCUCCAUGGCACGAUCUGAAAACGAAAGAAUGGUAGCAUUUGCUAAAUGCCCUAUAGCCUCUCAAUUAUAAGUGUGGCGUGAAACACACCCAUAAGUAAGAUUUUACUAGAUACAGCUUUGUAGACUCCCUAGGACACGACCUGCUCUUAUGCCACUUUUUCACUACCCCAACCUAGGUGAGGUGGAUAGGCACCCACUGCCUCAUUUGCAUGGAGACUCAUUCUGUACGGUUACUGAUUUACUUAAACUCGAUCACCUACAUGCAUAAAAGUCACAAAAGACACACACACACACACACACACACACACACANNNNNNNNNNNNNNNNNNNNNNNNNNNNNNNNNNNNNNNNNNNNNNNNNNNNNNNNNNNNNNNNNNNNNNNNNNNNNNNNNNNNNNNNNNNNNNNNNNNNNNNNNNNNNNNNNNNNNNNNNNNNNNNNNNNNNNNNNNNNNNNNNNNNNNNNNNNNNNNNNNNNNNNNNNNNNNNNNNNNNNNNNNNNNNNNNNNNNNNNNNNNNNNNNNNNNNNNNNNNNNNNACCUAACCAUAACCCAUGGUUUGACCACCAAAGAUCCCCAACCUACCCAUACGUAUAUAUAUAUACAUAUGACAGUCUGAUAACCCCUAGACUCGGCUCUACUCCGGAUAAAAUGGAGCUUGAUCAAUGCUCAGUUGGAUAUCAACUUCGUCGAUGAUAAGAGCCUGUCAAACUGGAUACCUGAACAUGCAGGCAUAGAUGCAGUGCCCCAACGAUAAGACAUCAGUUCAAAGAAAUGUACUAAGUAUGUAAGGUAGAUGACAUAUAAAUAACUGAAUUAAAACUAAACUGGCAUAUGUAUAUGAUAUAAUGAAAGUAAUUUGGAGGGUUAAUGAAAUCCGGGAAUCAUACUUACUUUAUCUUGACUCGUAACAUAUCAAUAGUAUUGAAUUAUCUAACUUACCUUACAAAGGAUUUAGACUGAAAAUGGAAGGAUCCAUUGGCCGAGAACAUCUAAUGUCACGACAGUCGUAUAUACAUCUAAUUCGUUUCAUGAUGUACCUGAACUUGUUCCCAUAUGCUAUCUAUACUAGAAACCAUCAUAUUAUGGAACUUCAUCUAUUACAUUCUUCUAGCCAUCAUACCUUAUAUCUGAAUACUUACCUCUGACAAAUCAAACAUCACUAGGGCACCACUAAAACCACCAAAAUGACGAGGCCUCUUAUCAAACACCGACCCCCUCUCCUGAGCACAAAUCAUCUCGAUCCGUCUAGCAAUAUCUACGGCCAUUUGGAAAGAAAUAUCACUCCCGGUGUAACGACCCGGCCGAUCGUUUUGAGAGUUGUAAAUACGUUCCCCUAUUUACAUUGGAUGGUGUCGAGGCUCGUGGUAUUUCUAUAUCAUUAUGGAUUAUGCAUUUCAUUAACAGGAAGACUAAGUGGUAGAGGAAACGGCCCUAGACUCGCAGAAUGUCUCAUCAGAGUGGGUUCCUCGGUUGUGGUACUUUGGCGUGCUAAGAGGAAAUGCAGCAGCAUAUGGGCCUUUAGGCGGUGUGGUUUGUAUGCUAGAAUCUCUUAUGGCGAGCUUUGGGGUAAGGAUCAUGGUGUUCUUGCAAGAAUGGGUAUCAACUUGAGGGUAAAUUGGAAUGAACUCGGAAGAAAUAGGGUAGUUUGAUAGUAACUUGGAUCAACACGGUAAUGAUAUGAUCGGUUCUUUGGGUACUUACGAUGUGAUGAGUCUCCACAUAUGUUUCGUGGCAAUGCUCAUGGGUUUUGGGAAACUGCGUGGCUUGGUUGAGUUAUAGGGAUUGCUCUGAUAGCUUGGUUAUGUGCAAAUGGAUUCCAAUGGGUUCUCGAUGAUUUUUAUCACUGUUCGGGGUGAAUAUUUCUUACUGGUGUGAGGAACGUGUUGCGUAUUGGGAUUUCCUCCUGGAUGAGAUCAAAUAGAAAGUUUCUGACUGAUCGGGAUUGAGUGUUACAUGUGCAAGGUCACAGUUCAGUUUUGAAGGGAAGUUCAUGAAUUCCUAGAGAGCACGUAUGGAUUCAGAUGUCUAGAGGGAUGCAAUUACUACUUGGUAUUGCCUGAGAAGGGUGUACAUUUCAGAAGGCACAUUGUGUUUUGACUUACGGAUGCAUCAUUGAUAUUGCGGUGCUCGCCUGGUUAGUCGACUGCUGAGAUUCAGAUUUUGUUAUGUGGCACAGAAGAAUUUUAGAUGUAUUCCUCAUGGGAUGAUCGUGUUAGAGAGAUGUGUUAGACAUUUGGGCAGUGGAGUUGGGAUUAGAUAGAGUGACUCGUGUGUUCUAUGGAUUCAAGAUUGGAGUUCUCAGAAGCAGAUUGAUUCAUGGUUGUGGACUGUGAUAUAUGGCCAAAGUUAGCCAGAUGAUAGUGUGUGUUAUGGGUAUGUCGUUGUGGACCUAGAGUGCUAUUUGACCAUUCGGGGAUGACCAGAGUUGAUUUGGGGGCCCAUUGGUAGGCCUAAUGAGGAUGUGUAUUCUGUAUCAAAUCAAAUUUGCUUGCUCCCGCACAGCUGUUACCUCAGGUAUAUCAUCGGGAGGAGUAGAUGCUAUUCGCGCCUUGGUCUAUGUUAUGUGUUCCUCUCUUAUGCUAUGACGGAUUGUGAGGAUUACAUGGUUCUUCGCACGCAUAUUGUAAUUCAGUUUAGGCUUCAUGGCACUAUAGACGAGAUGGCCUUCGUGAUGUUGAUUUGCUUAUUGCACCACAACUGUGCUUAUCCUUCUCACUAUUGUUUGUUCCAAAUAAUUCUCCCACAGUUAUAUUUUGUGCACUCUAUUGUGCUUGAUACUGACACACAUAUGAUCGGUGAGCCCGAGUAUUAUGGCUCGAUGGGUACCCUAUGUGGAUUGAAAUGUUAUGGUCGGGUUGCACGCCGCAAUGGUACUGUGGUGAAAUGUAACUUCUGAUGCUUACUUUGUGUAGUUUUUCUUUCACCUUGUUGAAAAUAGUUCAUAAGAAAAUGCUAAAAUUUCCCUGCCUGCUUAAUUUGUUUAGUAGUCUUCUUAUUUAACUCUCUUACUGUUAUAUAUCAUGUCUGAAUUAUUACUUGUUGGUGUUCGGGACCGUAUUGUGUGGGGCUCCAUAUGAUCAUUGUUGAUACUUGAAGGUGGGGUCUGCUUGUAUUGGUUGAGAUGAGGUUUCUAAGCUUGAGAUUUGCACUAUCGUAUUGGGAUGAGGAAGGUUUGGGAGAAUAACACUAUAUUUUGCUGAGGAUGUGGGCAAUGGCCCUGGUCAGACGAGUGGUUAAGAGGUUACGCUUGUUUCUUUCAUCAUCGAUAGGGUAUGAAGGUUUUGAACGAGGCUCUAAUCGAUACGAGGUUUGCUACCGACACCGCAUUUGUUUUCGGGAAGCAAUGGUGGUCAGCAGUUACUGCUGUGAACGUCUGAGUGAUGGGGUGUAUCAUGUGAUUUCAUCUUGGGGCUAUGGUUAUGCCCUAAUACAGCUUGUUCAGGCUUAUACAUUGUGUAGAUGUGAGAUUCGGGUUUUAUAAUGAAUUCUGGAUGUUAGAGAUUGGGUUCUAAGGUUUAAGGACCAAGGUUGAAGUAAGGAUCUCUAAUUAUGUUGUGUUGGUAGGCUUAUAUGGAGCAGGGUGACGUGGGAUCACCCCCGAGUAUAUGCAUAGUAAGGUUAUACCGUGGUUUGAUAGCUUUGGGACGACCCCUGGCACGUUCGAGGACGAAUAUGUGUUUAAGUGGUGAAGGAUGUAAUGACCCGAGUGGUCGUUUUGAGUAUCUGCACUUUGCUCGGUAGUUUGAAGCCUCGAAAUGGGGUUCCGUCAGUCUCGUUAGCUCCGUUAAGUGAUUUUGUACUUAGAAGCGCGUCCGGGUUGUAAUUUGGAGGUCCGUAGUCGAAUUAGUCUUGAAAUGGCGAAAGUUGGAUUUUUGUGAAGUUUGACCGGUAGUGAACUUUUUGAUAUCGGGGUUGGAUUUCGAUUCAGGAAGUUGGAGUAGGUCCGUAAUGCCAAGUGCGACUUGUAUGCAAAAUUUGGCGCCAUUUGGAGUUAAUUUGAUAUGGUUCGAACGCUUGGUUGUGAUUCUAGAAGUUCUUGAAGUUUCCUUUGAUCUUCAUGCGUUUUGGCACCCGAUUCAUGAUUCUAGAGCUUAUCUUGAUGUUUUGAUCACUCGAGCGGGUUCGUGUUAUGUUUUUAGACUUGUGUGGGUGUUUGGUUUGAAGCCUCGUGGGCUCGGAUGAGUUUCGAUUUGGUUUCAGAAUGAUUUUCCAUAAUAUUUGAGUGCUGGUACUGGUGUCAUCGCAUUUGCGAUGUUUUUGUCGCAAAUGCUACAAUUGCAAUAGCGAAGCAGUAAUCGUAUUUGCGAAAGUUGGGCUGCUAGGGAAGAUUUGCAUUUGCGAAGAAACCCUACGCAUUUGCGAUGUGGGGUUAUUCGCAUUUGCGAUGGACCCUGCCGCUUUUGCAAAAUGUUGAUCUUCGCAUUUGCGAAGUAUAUGGCCACAAAUGCAACCUUGACAGGAAACCUUCUGGUUCGCAUUUGCGAUAAGUUGUUCGCAUUUGCGGGGGUCGCAUUUGUGGUGGUCGCAUUUGCGAACCCCCUGUCGCAAAUGCGAUAUCUACAGCCUGCUAAAUGCUGAGAAUUCUGAGUCUAGUAGAGUCUUGCUGAUCGGUAUGAUGACGUCUAUAACUAUCUUCGGGAGGCUUUAGGGCAUUUAGGAUAAACUUCAUGUCUUUCUUUCCUUAUCGUGCGGCAUUGAUUCUGCUUGGAGCAUAACUAUUUGAAUUCUUUCCACGCAUUCGUAUGCGCAUGCGAGCGCUCGGUAUCGGCGGAGCAUCGACAACUUGUGAGUCCAUGGAUGAGGUGUGAGAUGUGAUUCUUGUGUACUGAUGAUGGGUCAGUCUGGAGGACAUGAGGCCGGGUUUUGACUGCAGCUUGAGCACGAGGAUUUCAGUUGUGUGAGCAUGUGCUUUUGGACUUAUACGUCUGGUAGUGUCCCUAUAAGUGGAAUUUGUGGCAGGCGAGUGGUUGGAUGACUAAAUGACGAGUAGGAUGUGACUGCGGGCUAUGUUCAGAUGAUUUGAAGGUGACGAGAAGAGUCUACUUGAGGUGUAAAAAGGGCUAAUGGGUGCUUGAUUUCUGUCUUGGUGUGAGGUAUAGUCUCGAGUUAUAGGUGUAUUGAAAUGUUUUCAUGUUGUUUAAUUGUGGAACGAAUUUUAUUCUCAUGCCUCAUUGAUGAGUUCAUACUCAGGAAGAUUAAGCAGUGGCAUAGCAGUUGUGGCUAGAGUUUAAUAUUUACAUUGGAUGGUGUCGAGGCUCGCGGUAUUUCUAUAUCAUUGUGGAUUAUGCAUUUUAUUAACAGGAAGACAAAGUGGUGGAGGAAACAGACUUAGACUCACAGAAUGUCUCAUCAGAGUGGGUGCCUAGGUUGUGGUACUUUAGGGUGCUAAGAGGAAAUGCCGCAGCAUGUAGGCCUUAGGGCGGUGUGGUUUUUAUGCUAGAAUAUCUUAUGGUGAGCUUUGGGGUAAGGAUCAUGGUGUUCUCGCAAGAAGUGGUAUCAACUUGAGGGUAAAUUGAAAGGAACUCGGAGGAAAUAGGGCAAUUUGAUAGUAACUUGGAUCAACACGGUAAUGAUAUGAUCAGUUCUUUGGGUACUUACGAUAUGGUGAGUCUCCACAAAUGUUUCAUGGAAAUUCUCAUAGGUUUUGGGCAACUGCGUGGCUUGGUAGAGUUAAAGGGAUUCGGUUCUGAUAGCUUGGUUAUGUGCAAAUGGAUUCCAAGGGGUUCUCAAUGAUUUCUAUCACGGUUUGGGUGAAUAUUUCUUAUUGGUGUGAGGAAUGUGUUGUGUAUUGGGAUUUUCUCCUGGAUGAGAUCAAAUAGAAAGUUUCUGACUGAUUGGGAUUGAGUUUUGCAUGUGCAAGGUCACGGUUCAAUUUUGAAGGAAAGGUCAUGAAUUCCUAGACAACACGGGCAGAUUCAGAUGUCUAGAGGGAUGCUAUUACUACUUGGUAUUGCCUGAGAAUGGUGUACAUUUCAGACGGCACAUUAUGUUUUGACUUACGGAUGCAUCAUUGAUAUUGCGGUGCUCGCCUAUCUAGUCGACAACUGAGAUUCAUAUUUUGUUAUGUGGAACAGAAGAAUUUUAGAAGUAUUCCUCGUGGGAUGAUCGUGCUCGAGAGAUGUGUUAGACAUUUGGGUGGUGGAGUUGGGAUUAGAUAGGGUGACUCGUGUUUUCUAUCGAUUCAAGAUUGGGAGUUCUCAGAAAUAGAUUGAUUCGUGGUUGUGGACUGUGAUAUAUGGCCAAAGUUAGCCAGAUGAUAGUAUGUGUUAUGGGUAUGUCGUUGUGGACUUUUGGAGGGCUAUUUGUUCGUUUGGGGAUGACCGAAGUUGAUUUGGGGGCCCAUUGUAGGCCCAAUGAGGAUGUGUAUACUGUAUCGGAUCGUAUUUGCUUGCUCCUGCACAGCUGUUACCUCAGGUAUAUCGUCGGGCGGAGUAGAUGCUAUUCGUGCCUUGGUCUAUGUUAUGUGUUCCUAUAUUAUGCUAUGACGGAUUGUGAGGAUUACAUGGUUCUUCGCACGCACAUUGUAAUUCAGUUUAGGCUUUAUGGCUCUAUGGGCGAGAUGGCCUUCGUGAUGUUGAUUUGCUUAUUGCACCACAACUCUACUUAUCCUUCUCAGUAUUGUUUGUUCCAAAUAAUUCUCCCACAGUUAUAUUUUGUGCACUCUAUUGUACUUGAUACUGACGCACAUAUGAUCGGUGAGCCCGAGUAUUAUGGCUCGAUGGGUACCCUAUGUGGAUUGAAAUGAUGGGGUCGGUUUGCACGCUGCAACGGUACUGUGGUGAAAUGUAACUCCUGAUGCUUACUUUGUGUAGUUUUGCUUUCACCUUGUUAAAAAUAGUUCAUAGGAAAAUGAUAAAAUUUUCCUGCCUGCUUAACUUGUUUAGUAGUCUUCUUAUUUAACUCUCUUAUUGUUAUAUGUCAUGUCUGAAUUAUUACUUGUUGGUGUUCGGGACUGUGUUGUGUGGGGCUCCAUAUGAUCAUUGUUGAUACUUGUCGGUGGGGGCUGCUUGUGUUGGCUGAGAUGAGGUUUCUAGGCUUGAGAUUUGCACUAUCGUAUUAGGAUAAGGAAGGUUUGGGAGAAUAACACUAUAUUUUGCUGAGGAUUUGGGCAAUGGCCCUGGUCAAACGAGUGGGUUUCAUGGCUUAGUGAUCAGAUGAGUGGUUAAGAGGUUAUGCUUGUUUCUUUCAUCAUUGAUAGGGUAUGAAGGUUUUGAACGAGGCUCUAAUCGAUAUGAGGUUUGCUACUGGCACCACAUUUGUUUUUGGGCAGUAAUGGUGGUCAUCAGUUCCUGCUGUGAACGUCUGAGUGAUGGGGUGUAUCAUGUGAUUUCAUCUUGGGGCUAUGGUUAUGCCCUAAUACAGCUUGUUCAGGCUUAUACAUUGUGUAGAUGUGAGAUUCGGGUUUUAUAAUGAAUUCUGGAUGUUAGAGAUUGGGUUCUAAGGUUUAAGGACCAAGGUUGAAGUAAGGAUCUCUAAUUAUGUUGUGUUGGCAGGCUUAUAUGGAGCAGGGUGACGUGGGAUCACCCCCGGGGAUAUGAAUAGUAAGGUUACACCGUGGUUUGAUAGCUUUGGGACGACCCCUGGCACGUUCGAGGACGAAUGUGUGUUUGAGUGGUGGAGGAUGUAAUGACCCGAGUGGUCAUUUUGAGCAUCUGCACUUCGCUCGGUAGUUUGAGGCAUCGGAAU
rnacentral:lncRNA from 1 species